GAGUUAUUUUCAAUGAUGCGGCUUUCAAAUCGACGAUCGGCUCCGUUAGACUUGAUCUACACUAUUAAAAGUAUUUAAAAAUUAAAUUUCAUAAUUUUUCGACACCAUUUGGCUAGUGAUCAAAAGAUCUCAAAAUUGACAAUUUUAAUGGUAGAUGUGAUGCAUUUGUGAAUUUAAUGGUGUAAAACAAUUCAAAUCUGAUGAAAUUUUUAUAGAAAAUUCUUUAUACUGUUUAGAGUAAGAUCAGUAUCUAUGAUCUUAAAUUUAAGUCUUUUAUCGUCAUUUUUUAUAAGAUUUUUAUUUUCAGCCGUUCAUUUUAAACUACUCAUUUGAUAGGUAAAUAAUACUGAAAAAUUAUGAAAUUUAGUUUCCAAAUACUUUCAAUAGUGUAGAUCAAGUCUAAUGGAAUUGAUCGUCAAUUUGAAAGCCGCAUUAUUGAAAACAACUUGAUAGUACGAAGGCUUCCGUACUACUGAUAGUAUACCAGCCUAGCUCUCUCUCUCUAUAUAUAUGUAGAGUUGAGCUAGAAUACUCUCAAAAGCACCAAGAGGGUGAUGCUUUGGAGUUUUUUGCCCUUAAAUAGAGAGAUGUAGGGUUGGAAUGAUGGUGAUAGGUGGUGGUAGGUGGCGGUGGGUCCAAGGGCUAGAAAUCUAGAAGCACCAAGGGUUUGGUGCUUCUAAAAGUAUUCUAACUCAAUUCUAUAUAUAAAUAUAUAUUCAAGCGGAACAUGUACAAUAGAGUUAACCCUAGUUCUUAUUUGUCUCGUUAAAAUAUUGAGCUUAAUUUUUCAGCUUAUGUUUGUCUUGUUUAUUAAACGAACGAUUCAAUAUCUAGCCCAUUUCGAGUUGAACACGGUUGGCUCACGAAUAGCGAGCUGAAUUAGCCGCACUAGCUGAGAGAACAUCUAUUUAAUCCAAUUAGCUUUAAUGAUCUAAUCGGAUUAAAUUUUGAUGGGAAAAUAUAUGUAUCCACCUAUUUCAUUAGCUACAAUCUCUAUUCAAUAAUUGACAACAACAAGAAAAAUGUUUGGAAGAGAAGUGGAUUUCUUCUUCUUGCCUUCUGGGUGAGUGCAUUAAUUUUUGUAACAUACACGACUACGUGAGGAUUAGUUAAAUGUAUGAAAAUUUUAUCUGAUGUGUCUCACUCAGAAGACUCUCCCUUCAACCUAACUCGAAUAUAAAUUCCCUUUCCCCACAUGUGAGGGAUAAAAAUUAUAUGCAUUCUAAUCUAAAUGGAGGAUAAAGAUAAGGAGGGGCACUACAACAGAAUUAGGUUAUAGGGACACAUGUUUGGGACACUUUUGAGUAAGUGUCCCAUUUAUGCUAAAACUUAAAAAAAACAUCUACUUAUGCCUAAAUAUAAAGCCCAAUCCAACCAAAAAUAAAAGAUUACUCUACUCAACCCACCACACCCAGUCCAUUUGACCCGAUUACAAAUAGAAAAGAAAAAAAAAAGAAAAAUCAAUUACCAUCUUUUCUUCUCUCUUCACUCAAUCCACUGAAAUUCUAGACGAAGAGCCUUUCUUGUCGUCUUCCUCCGUCACCGUAGCCAAUGAGAUAGAGUUCCGGCGGUUGCUAAAUGCUUAAAUAAGUGUUGGUAAAUUAGCAGCACUCUUUUAGGCUAUAGCGACACUCUUUAACUGUCACUAUAUACCUAGCGACCCCACAUAUAGCAACACUUUUUAAAAGUGUCGGUAAUUUUAGCUAGCAGCACUUUUUUGACAUGUACCUACAUUUAAAAGUGUCGCUAUAGACCGUUUUUGUUGUAGUGGGGUCAGCCAAAUUUCUCGUUUGCAUAAUUAUUAUUUUUUUUUAAAAGUAGGAUUAGUGAUUAAGAAAGAGAAGUGCAUAAUAUGCAUCUCAUAGCUUACCCAAAGGGUAAUAUUAUCAACAAAAUAAGCUUUUUUUUAUAGUAGAUUCAUCAAAUUUUGCCACUAUUUAUUGAUUGAAUUUGACCAAAUUCAAUAAGUUUAAAAUUCAGUUGUCAAAAUAAAGUAGCUAAUAUCAUUACACAUGCCUAAUAAUGAGAAAAAAAUUAGUAAUUAACUACACAUUUCGGAUCAUUUUAAACAACAAUUAAUGAAGUAAUUUUCUUCUUUUGUCUCCUUGUGACCAACAUUAAUUCAUUUGAUAAGCAUGCAACUUACCUCAUAUAUAUAUAUAUAUAUAUAUAGAGAGAGAGAGAGAGAGAGAGAGAGAAUUAUGCUAGUAUAUAGUACCAAGCCCUUGGUACUAUUGAGUUUUCGGCCGUUGGAUGAAAAGAUGUGCGGUUAGGAUGAUAGUGGUCCCCGGUUAAAUUGAUAGUGAUCCCCUAGGGUUGAGUGGAUGGUUGGUUUAAUAGUAUAAUCUAACGGGUGUAAAUGAUUAAAGGGUAGAUUUAACGGUAGAAAACUCAAUAGUACCAAGAGCUUGGUACUAUCGAUAGUAUAGUAGCCGGACACCUCUUCUCUCUCUCUCUCUCUCUCUCUUCCUCUCCUUCCUCUCUCUAAUAUAUAUAUAUUUACAUAUGAUUAAGCCACUGCUAUACAUCGGCUACAACGAGCUCCGUGGCUAACAUUAUUUUAAUGAUGCGGCUCUCCAUUGACGAUCGUCUCCGUAGACUUGAUCUAUACUAUUAAAAUAUUUAAAACUAAUUCUAAUUUUUCAAUAUCAUUUACUAUUCAAACAAAUAUCUAAAAAUUGAAACGUUGAAAUAAAACAUUAUAAAAAAUGAUAUAAAGAUUUAAAUUCAAGAUCAGAUAUACUAAAUCUUAUCUAAAUAGUGAAAAUUUCUAAGAAAUUGUCAGCGCAAAUGUCUGAUUGUUUUACACCGUUAAACUCACAAUAACACCCACAUGACAUUAAACAUAGUCAUUUUGAGAUUUUUAAUCACUAGCCAAAUGAAUGUCGAAAAAUCUGAAAUUAGUUUCACAUACUUAUAAUAUGAUAGAUCAAUCUACACGAGCCGAAUCGUACGAUUUGGAAGCCACUCAGUCACGAAAACUGCAUUGUAUGACACAGAAGUCCUCCGUGCUACCGAUAGUAUAGGCACAUAUAUACUAUAUAUAUAUACUACUUGAUCGUACGUGCAACACGUACAAUUAUUUUAAUAAUUUAAAUCGAUAAACAUUUAUAAAUCAUAUUUAUUCAAAAAAUGAUUUAUCAAAUUAUACAACAAUCUAUCUUUAAAUAUUUUCUAUUGUAAUACUAUGAUAGCUCAAAUUUAAAUUUAAAUUAAUUUUAAAAUUUGAAUUGAAUAUAAAUUACAGUAGAUAUCUGGCAAAAAUUGUGAUAAGCUAAUUUUUUAAAAUUUUAGAGUAAAAAAUUAAAUAAAAUUUUAAUUAAAAUCAUAGAUUUCACAGUAGAUAUCUUUCAGUGGUAAAAAUUGGAUAAGUAAUUAUUUUUCUAUUUCGAAUAAAUAGAAAUUAAAUAGAAUGUUUCAUUAGUUGAUUUAUUUUCGUAAGAAAAUCGAAAUCAUAUAUAUAAUUAAUAUAUAUAUGUAUAAUAUAUAUAUAUAUAUAUAAAUAUAAGUCUGGCCGGGGUACUAUCGAUAGCACCAAGGAUUUGGUGCUAUCGAGUUUUCCACCGUUAGAUUUAAAACUUUAAUUAUUUUUAUCCGUUAGAUUAUACUAUUUAACCAACCACUCACUCAACCCUAGGGGGCCCACAUCAUCCUAACCACCCAUUUCUCAAUUCAAGGGCUAAAAAAUCAAUAGCACUAAUAGCUUGGUGCUAUUGAUAGUAUUCCAGCCUAGUUCUAUAUAUAUAUAUAUAUAUAUGAGUGAGGCUACUAUGCUAUCGGAAACACGGAGCCUUCCGUGCUUCCAGCUCAUUUUCGAUAUUGCGACUUUUGAAUCAUCGAUCGGCUCUGUUAAACAUGAUCUAGAGUAUUUGAAGUACCUAGAAAAUAAAUUUUAUGAUUUUACGAUAUCAUUUGCCUAGUGAACAAAGGGGCUCAAAAUCAACGGCUGAAAAUAACAAUCUUACAAAAUGUAAUAAUAUAAUAUUAAAAUUUUAAAUCAAAUAUAUUGAUAUUGUUUUAUAUAGUAUAAAGAAUUUUCUAUCAAAAUUUCACGUGAUUUGAAUAUUUCUACACCGUUAAACUUGCAAACGGCUCACUACGGCCAUUGAAAUUUAUUAAUUUUGNAUAUGGCCAAUUUGCAUAAAAAAUCCACUUAUUUUGGGCUUUUGUAAAACCGGGCCACCUUUUUCGUUUUUGCAGAUUCGGUCUGCUUUUUCAGCAAACUGACCAAAAUACCCUUAUUACUUUUUCUCUUUCCUCUUUCUCUCUCUUCUUCGUUUCUCUCAUUCUUUCUUUUUUCUCGCCGGCAGAGCGGGAGAUGGAGCGGAGGCAGAAACGGUCCGUCUCGCCUCUCACCAUCAUGCUCUCGCCCUCGCCCUUGCCCUCGUCCAUGCACCCCCCACAUUCCUCGCCUCCGACCUUGCCAAGGCCGCGCCACGACUUUUUUUUUUGCUUUUUUCUUUUCUUUUCUUCUCCGACUCUUCUCCACCGUCUCCGACAACGACGCCUCUCGCCAUUCCCCGCCCUUCUCAUCUCUCCCUUUCCCUCAUUUUCUGCCGCCUCCGACGACGAUUUAUCUUCGCCGGCGCUGACGUCGACACCGUAGAGGUCACUGCGGCGCUACAGCCUCAGAGAGGGGGGUCCUUAGCGGCGUCGUCACCGGCGCCGUAGCUGUUGGCAGAGAAGGUGACAAAAAAAAUUAUAGAAAAAACAGAAAAAAAAAUAAAAAAUUAUAUAAAAAGAAGGAUGAAGAUGAAAUUGUAUCGUUAAUUAUAAAAAAAAUUAUAAGUUGCACUAUUUAAGAUGUAAACUGCUGUUUUAAGAUAAAAAUUAUACUCUUUGAACGAAAAUUAUACUAUUUUUUAUCUUAAACUGCAACCUUUUAAGUGAUAUUUAUACUGUUUCUCCUCUUGUUGCACUGUUUCUCCUCUUGUUUACACAGAAAUGGUGCAACAAGAGGAGAAACAGUNNNNNNNNNNNNNNNNNNNNNNNNNCGUUUUCGAUGAUGGAGUUUUCGAAUCGACGAUCGGCUCUGUUAAACUUGAUCUAGCGUAUUUAAAGUUUCUAGAAAAUAAUUUUUGCGAUUUUUCGAUAUCAUUUACCUAGCAAUCGAAAGGAUUCAAAAUCAAUAAUUUUUAACGGCUGAAAAUAAAAAUCCUAUAAAAAGUGGUGAUAUAGCACUAAAAUUUUCGAUCAGAAAUAUAGAUCUUGUUGUAGAUGGUAUAAAGAAUUUUCUAUCAAAAUUUCAUCUGAUUUGAAUACUUCUACACCGUUAAACUUGAAAACGGCAGAUAUCAACCAUUAAAAAUUAUGGAUUUUGAAUCCUUUCGAUCACUAGGUAAAUGAUAUCGAAAAAUCGCAAAAAUUAUUUUCUAGAAACUUCAAAUGCGCUAGAUCAAGUCUAACGGAGCCGAUCGUCGAUUCGAAAAUUUCAUCAUCGAAAACGGCUCAGAAGCACGGAUGCCUCCGUGCUCCUGAGAGCACAGCAGCCCUGCUAUAUAUAUAUAUAUAUUUCAUUUUAUACCUUACUUGGGGAGAAAGUUUUGUGGCCCAUCUUUCACCAAUGUCAUUUUAUGUAUGCAAAGAUGACAUUCAUGUCCCCAAAAUAGGGCAUUUUGUAGUAAUUUUCUAUAUAUAGAACUCUUUAUCUUAGGUUUUUGCUCCCUGGAAGUGAUGUUUCCUAUGAACCCCUCAACCAUGACAUGAACAUGUUCCAAAAUAAAUUAAGGUCAAACCCUUGAAGGUCAAACCGUCUGAACUUAUUGAGUUUUCUUUAGAAGCAAAUGAAAUCAAGAGAUUACAAGUUGAGAUAUUCUUGGCACUCAAUUAUUACUAUAUAUGCCUUAAUCUUUAUUAUAUUUCUCAAAUCAAAUCUGGCGGCUUGAAGUUGAGAUCUUCUUGACACUUAAUUAUCAUAUGCCUGAAUGUUUAUUAGAUUUCUAUCCCUUGUAACUUAGCAAGUAUCUUAAUAGUUUGGAGAAAAUUACUUUUCAUUUUGUAGUAAUUUUCUAUACAUAGAACUCUUUUUCUUAGCUUUCUGCUUCCUGACAAAGUGAUGUUUCCUAUGAACCCCUCAGCCAUGGCAUGAACAUGUUCUCAAAUAAAUUAAGGUCAAACCCUAUGAACUUAUUGAGUUUUCUCUAUAAACAAAUCAAAUCAAGAGAUUACAAGUUGAGAUAUUCUUGGCACUCAAUUAUUACUAUAUAUGCCUUAAUCCUUAUUAUAUUUCUCAAAUCAAAUCUGGAUGCUUGAAGUUGAGAUCUUCUUGACACUUAAUUAUCGUAUGCCUAAAUGUUUAUUAGAUUUCGAUCCCUUCUAACUUAGCAAGUAUCUUAAUGGUUUGGAGAAAAAUACUUUUCAUUUUGUAGUAAUUUUCUAUACAUAGAACUCUUUAUCUUAGGAUUCUGCUCCCUGACAAAGUGAUGUUUCCUAUGAACCCCUCAACCAUGACAAGAACAUGUUCCCAAGCAAAUUAAGGUCAAACCUUGGAAGGUCAAACCCUCUGAACUUAUUGAGUUUUCUUUAUAAACAAAUAAAAUCAAGAGAUUACAAGUUAAGAUAUUCUUAGCACUCAAUUAUUACUAUAUAUGCCUUAAUCCUUCUUAUAUUUCUCAAAUCAAAUCUGGAGGCUUGAAGUUGAGAUCUUCUUGACACUUAAUUAUCAUAUGUCUGAAUGUUUAAUUAUUAGAUUUCUAUCCCUUGUAACUUAGCAAGUAUCUUAAUGGUUCGGAGAAAAGUACUUUUCAUUCCUUGUAACUUAGCAAGAACCAAAAAGAAAUAAUCCAUCAAAUUGUAGAUGAUAUUACAAGCUGCACACGAAUAUAAAAUACCAUAGACAUCUGACGGCCGUUUUACUGUGAAAUCGACCUAUACUAUGUUAAGCAACGGGGGAACAAGGGAUAACAGGACUUACGACAUCUGGAGACUCCGUAUCCCCCUUGAAGUGAAGGUUUUCUGUUGGCUCGUGCUCAAGAAAAAGAUACCCAUGCACUAUUGACAACCUGUUAAAAAGAGGGUGGACAGGGAAUAUGAGCUGUGUGCUUUGCGGGUCGGAGUUAGAAACGUUUGAUCAUCUUGUCACGCCCCGGGGUCCCUUUUCAGUUUAAAACAAAGCGGAAAAGCGUCUGAAUUUUUUUUUUUUUUUGAAAAACCUGACCCCAGAGUAUGCCAAAUCCGCCACAAAUACAGGGAAUCCACUGUUCACACGGACAGAGUCUCCCCUGUAUUUGCACGGCGUCGAUCCAAUACACAGUACAACUAGGAUACAACCACAACCAGAUGAAUAUAAAAAUAACUAUACAUUCAUACAUUCACCAUUCACAUCACAGUUUUACAUUCAAGGUUUAAACAGAAAUCCACAAAAAUCUUUUGAAAACUGUUUCCUACACAGGAACCUUUAUUCUUUUAAAAACGCUACCACGAGGGGUAGAAAACCUUUUAUUUUACAAAAUCCAGGAAUCCACAUUAUCAAAUGUAAAUAAAUACUGAACCACAUAAACCAACUAAACUAUUCAUCAGCCAAAAUAAGAAGGGUAAGAAAGUAAACCGAUUAACCGGUUCCGAAAAGCUCUAUCGACGCUACAACACGCGUACCUCCGCUCGUCACUACUCAUCGCCGGCCACUGUACCUUUAAAAAUGGUGGCGGAUGUGAGUACAUGGAAACAUUCCUCCCCCCCAGUGGUACCCGCAAAGCGCGAAGAAGGCGAGAUACUCACUCGAUCAGGAAUAGGAUAACCACAGUACGUAAGUAAUCAGUAGACGAUAAUAACGAAUGAAUAUAUAUAUAAAAACAACUACCAUAACGUCCGUACUGUACAACUGGCAAGCAUACAAAGGACUACCUUCAUCAUCUAUAGUAAGCAAGAGCAAACUGUAGAAAUAAAUACAUAUGCAACAACCUACUAUAGCUAUGGAUGCUCAAACCGACAGAAUCCAAAAGUACCCGCAAUCUAAACCGCCGUGUCGUCAAAGGCCUCAGCAAAAUCCACUAUCGCUCACACGACUGCUGUAACCUAGCCAGAGAACACAGGUGGACCGGGGGCUCACAGCGUCGGAUAUGUACGACCACUUUUCCGGAAAAGACAGCCUGCUUGCGGGAUCAACCCCUGGCUGUAAUUUCGUGAAAUGACACUUCUGAGCUGUGGCGAUCAAAUGCGGAUAUGAUCAUACCAACCGUCGAAAUCCAGCCGACAAUACUGCCUCUGGGCAUACCGACGUUAGGUAUCCCCAGUAACACACGUGAACCGACGAGAUAGUCAAUAACGGAAGUACCGAAGACCAAACCAGCGUCAUCCGAUUGCAAACGGAGACGCGACCAACCAGGUCAAAUAUCAGUUACACAAUGCCAUCUAAACUCUACCCUAUAAGGAUACUGAACACAUAGAACAACAGGGCAAGUAAAUAAAGAUAGUAUGUAGAUACGCAGUCCACUAAAAGUUACGACGCAAGAACCCGACCAAUAGGUCACAGAGUGUAUUCUGUAUAGUCCAGAACUACGAACCAGUCAGCACCAGCCGACAAAUCUACCCUCAGGGUACAUCCGCCUCAAGGUAUCUACGAUGGAGUACAAACUGACCAACCAGUAACAGAUAUACAAUAAAAACAGAUCAAUCUAGGUCCUGAACGAAGUACCGAGAACGCCAACUCAGGUCACCGUAUCAAUCAUAUGGUAAACUGGGACGUCCAUCUGCCUCACAUGAUACUAAGCAUAGAAACAUAUCAGUAGAGUAUAAUAAGAAACACGGGAUGAAACUUCAAUAUUAUACGUAAAAUAGCAACAGAAAACAGAUCGAAGAAAUAUCACCGAGCGUCGCACUACUGUACUUACGCUUCGGUGAGUACCCACCUGCACGAGCUGUCGGUUCUGCUCCUGACUGAAAAGAACUCACAAGACCUAAAUGAGAUCACUGGUUAGUGUACCCACAAAUAAGAACACUACUAUCAUACAUCCUCUAACAAACCGACGAGACUCAGAGUUUCCCAUAAACCCACAUACCGUAACUCGCUCCGUGAAAGUCCCGAGAAUCGGCACCGAGGACUCCUCCGAGGAGUAGAGCGCUGGAACACCCACACUAUCGCCGAAGGAUCCGACUCAUGCACGAGGUCAUUCGCUGGGCCACUACACUUAUUUAUGUGACAAGCAGAAACACAAGGAUCCCAACCAAACAACUAUUGGAUAUUUUGGGCAUGCGGUUUCCGGAAAUGUCUAUUUCGACACCCCGGACACCACCGUGCCGCUGCCACCGCCGUCAUUUCUACUCUCGAAAUGAUGCGAGUGACCAGCCAAUAAGCUCAGUCGAACACACUAAUACUCACUGAACACCGUCGAAUUAAUUUCCCGAACCAAACCCUCGUUCGUCGCGGAUUUCGCCGAAGAAACGCACCGGAAAUGCAUUUCGGCUUCUUCGCAAGGGUCCUGGGGCGCUUGACUCAAUCAGUCCAGAAGUUCAACUCAACCAACACUUGCUCGCCACAGCAGCUACAACGAACCAAAUGCAAAAGGCCCUCGCCGAUGACACAAAUCGCAUUAAUUUCAUGCGAUUUUCGGUGCCUUCAUGGUCGCACCACGCAGAGCAAACCAAGGUUCAAACAGCAAACGAACUCCUGCUUACUGUCUUCGAGGGUGCCGGCAGGCGCCGUGCUAACCAUUCCGGACAGCACCUGCAGCGCCCGACUGUGGAGGUACGCCAAGCGCGCAAACAUCAGUGAUAACGGCACCAGCGCCAAAUCGCGUCUAAACCAAACCGGCAGCAUCUCUGACCUAAAUAGAGCUGGCCACUGAUGACCGGAACUUGACGCAACGGAUCAUCCGUGCUCACCUCCAGCAAUUCCGGAGUGGCUACCGUUCAACCAACAGUGAUCGAACCCCCAAGACAAGGUGCAGGAAGUCCAACAAACACACGUUCACCGAGCAAGUGGGGCACGGGCUGCUCUUGAACGGCAUGCUCGUAACGGCGGUAUAUCGCCAGAAGAAGCGUGCUCAGGCCUAGUUUGUUGUGUAUAGGUUCGGGCGCCAGCUUACGGUCGACCAAGGAGGCCGGCAGAGGCGGCGGCAUUGAUGCCUCAGCGCACAACCGAGGAGAGCCAGGGGCUCACCACGUUACAGGAGCCUCGGCGGUGGGGGCGCGCGGCGCGGGCAGAGUGCGCGGCGCGGUGGCAGCCGGUCCUCAGCCGUGACGUCGGCGGAAGACGCGACGGCGGUGCUGGACCAAACAACCCCGGCGCGGGUUAAUGUGGCUCCAGAGGUGCGGUGGCCAUGGGGCGGCCGGAGGCAAAGUCGGGGCGGCGCGACGACCGGCGCGGAGGCGAGGGAGUUGGUGCUUUCCACCAUAGCGUGGCGACGCAGCGAGGCCACGAAGACUCAAAAAAGCCAUCGCCGCCUGGCGUCCUGGCGCACAGAGCUUUCGUGCGGCGCCGCGUGGUCGGGGAUGGCCGGGACACGCGCCGGAGUAGCCGAGGGUGAAAGGAAGACGCCGCACGCCGGUCUCCGAAUCUGGAGUUUGCGGCGGCGCUACGGCCUCGACCGCCACACCGUGCUCGUCUGGGUGACCGUGGUGGCUCCGCAGGGCCAGAGGCGGCGCCGGGCGGCGGCGUGCGCCGGGAGGGCAGUGGGCCCGGCUGUGACGCACGCCGGGGAAGCGGACAAGGUAGUCCAAUAGCCGGCGGGGGCCCAUGGAGCGGUGCGGGAACCAGGCUCGCCAAUCAGGUCAGCUCGGCCACGGCCAUUCCGGCCGCGACGGCGGCUGCGUGGGGACGGCGGCGGCCCGCACUGCGGGAUCGGGGAGGCGGGGCCGCUGCCCGAGGUGGUGCCCGACGAGAUGAACUCCUGGUGUGUACCACGCCAGGAAAGAGGCGCAGCAAGAUGACGGGAAGGUGGAGGGAGAGCAAACCCGGCUUUUUUCGACGCCCGGAGUUCGCAACCGCGCGUGCUGGUCGGACGCGACUUACGGUCUAGGGUAAAAUCCUGCUGACAGCAACUAGGGCAUAGCUGGAAGACUAAGGACCUUCGGCCGAAACUAGGGUUUCGUGCAUAAAACCCUCAAGACAUUAUAUAACAAAUCCGCUAUGCACCAAUCCUCCAGAACUGGUUAUUUCCCAACUCAAUCCCUCAUCACACGAGUAAUCGCGUGUAACGCACCUCCAAGUUUGAUCUGCAUAGGCGAUUCGUACAUAAAAUGUCGCAACUUUUGCGAAAUUACCUCGUUUUGCCAUCACCGCCGACCCUCUCCUCGAUCAACCGCAAAACACGCAAGACUCUCCGCAGAUCCGUCAGUGAUAUUUAGCCAAAUUUUGCGAACGGAUUGCACCUCAUGGCGACAGCCACCUCAGCAGCAACAAAGCUAAAACACAAUUUCGAUCAUUUGAUCGAACCCUCAAACAUCGGAUUCACAACAAAAUCCAACCUUCUUCCAAUAGAAGGAAACACACACACAAAUACAUAUAGCAUGUAUUUUUGGAUUUUCUCGAAAUCCGUGCGUCAAACUCAAAAUCCAUCAGCGCUACUAGUUCCAGAACAGUUGAACCGGUCGAAACGAGCUAUUGGACUGAUAUGAACGGAGUCCGAUACGCACCAGAAGCCAAAUCUACUCCGUGGCUUCUCCGGAAAACCGGAGUUACUAUUCACUUAAGUGAAAACUAAUAAUCGCGUAACUUCUCCGUUUAAGCUCAUUUUCUCCUGAAACUUGACGAGUGCUUAUGUAAUUAAAUUACACACAUAAACAUCGUCAACAGAGAGUUUAGAUGCACUAUCAAAAAUCUCAGUCCUUACACAUCUCUUUACACAAUGUGUGUUCUUCAGAUUCCUUUUGGUUAUGUCACUAGAGGAAGUCCAUCCAGAAGAUCUGGGAGCUGACGUACACCGGAUGUGGGAUUUAUGGAAAGGGCGGAGGGUCUCGGAUAACGACCUAACCGGUAUCAUAGCUUGCUGGUGGGUGAUUUGGGAGACUAGGAAUGGUGUCAUUUUUGCGAAGGCCCAAGCGGAUCCGAUCCGUGGCACUCAUAAGAUCAAACACCUGCUAGCUCAGUGGAGUAGUGCUGACCUGUAGAUCUGUAGUUAGAAUUCGUAGACCGUAUAAAGGUACCAGCUGUACUUUACUCACAACACCUGUUUUCCUGUCUUUUACCUUUUUGUCUCCGUCAUCCUAGAGGCCAUGAUGCCUCACCCAUGUUGCUUAAUUCACCUUCUGAAUGAAUGAAGCGGGUAGCAUGCUACCCUUUUCUCAAAAAUAAUAAUAAUAAUAAAAUACAAUAAUUAAUGUUUAGCAGGUUGUAUACGCUAAAUAUAUGAAAUAGUUAGUUUGUGUUAAAUAUAAAUAUUGAAAAUACUUUUCACUAGUAUCUUAAUGGUUUGGGGAAUAAUAGCUAUUUUACACAAUUUAACAUGGUAUUCCGCUAGGCUCCUAGUAUUAUUUAAGUUACUCUUUUCUAAGCUAAAUGUUUUGGAGAAUAAUUAUUGUUUUAUACAAUUUAAUAGUUUCUGAGUUUAAAAUGCAACUUCUUAGGUUUAAAGAAUAAUAUAAAGGAUUAAUUGAGACAUCAAAAUUUAUAAACUUCACCUUUACCGUCAAACCUUCUAUCAGAAAUAUGCACGCUAACGAUACCUUCCAUAAAAAAUAUGCACGCUAAGGAUCACGUAACUAUGAAAUACAAGGUGCGUGAUUUCAUUUUUUACCUUUUUUUUUUUCUGGCUAGCCACAUCUUUUUCUUAAAAUGUUUAAAAUUUAAAUUUUAAAAUUUUAAAAUUUUAAAUUGUAAACUAUCACAUUUAAAAAAUUAAUAUGGAUGACAAAGUGAUAGGUGAAAGUAAAUGCAAUUAAUUCUUAAAAAUGGUUUGCCCUCUCUCACUCCCGAGCAUGUCGACAAACAUUGAACUUAAUUUAUUGUUGGUGUGAUCGACAUUUAAGCCCGCUUUUAGUGAAAAAUGAAAAAUAAACAUUAAAUUAACAAAUUGCAAACAUGCUUGUCUUAACCAAAUCAUAAUACAAAAUUAAAAAUUAAGUCAACUUUUGGAGAGUAUUAAUUAUAGCUUUGUUUAAGAGAAUUAUGAGAGAAAGUGGGGGCUCUCAAGGAUUCUAAAGGAAAAAGAAAGAGAGAUUCAGAUCUACUCUUAUAAGGUUACGGAAUAGGAUGCAGAAAUAAAUUAAAAAACAAUGCUUAAAUCGUACGUAUCCAAUAUUUUGCUUAAAUUUUGUAGAUAUGGUAUUAUGGUAUUUGGGGUUAUUAAAUAACUUUCCUAAUUACAUAACCUAAGCUAGGAUAGCACUUCAAUUCCUUAAAACUAGUUCCACUUAUCGUUUUUCUAAUGUAGUUUGACCCCACAUAUUUUUGACCCCACAUAUAUUAGAGAGAUUUGUAGAAUCCAUAUAUACUUAUGAAAUUAAUAUCAGUUAAACAGCUGGAAGAGAAUAUGCUUGUGGAUUUGGUCCUUAGAAAUUUUGUUAGCAAUUAAGUUGCGAAUACUAGCGUGGGAAACAUAUCAAACACCUAUUCAUGAUUUUGAAAGCCAUAUAUAUAUAUAUGUAUAUAUAUAUAUAUAUAUGUAUAUAUAUAUAUAUAUAUAUAUAUAUAUAUAUAUAUAUAUAUAUAGGCCUCAUUCAUGCACCAAAAUAUAUCAAGUGUAUCUAGUAUAUAUGUCGAGGAGAUCUUAAAUUAGUCUUGAGGGUAAAGCCGAAUUAUUUUCUACUGUUCUAGUUGGUAGCCUAGUUAGUUAGGGCAUUGCUAAUUAUUUGAGUGUUUAAUUUGCAAUUCUAUUUAUGUAUUGUUUCCUAAUCUAUUCUAAUUUGCAAGAGUUAAUUAAUUGUUGAAUGUAAAAUAUAUUAAAAACUAUGUGCUUUCGGAGUUUAUAUAAGCUUUUAGAGAUAAAUUAAUGGUUAUUUCACAUUUUUUAAUAGGAGAAUAAAGGUUUUGAAUAAUUUAAAAUAGUAUCGUAGCAGGAGAUUUUGUAAUUUCAAAUCUAGUCAAACUCCUUUUCCAUGCUGGCUACGAGUCUACACACGAAGGAAGAGUGUAAAACUAGUUGCUUCACAUUAUUUUCGAUUGUUUUACAUUAUCUAAUAUGAUAUCGGAAUAAGAGAUUCUAAGUUCGAUUUGUACUAUAUAGGCCUCUAGUCUCUUCAUUAGUUUGACUGAUAAAAUUUGAUUUCUUUCCUAUAAAAUGAUCACUCUACCUGUGAUCACUAAAUGUUUUUUAAGUAUAUUUAAUGUUUUUAUUUCUUUCUUUUUUUUUUUAUUCCAGCUUUUGUUUUAUUCUACGUAAACCGUAAAUCAAUAAACGUGUAUUUUUCUUAACAAAAUAUUUCCAAACAGUGAAAAAUUAAUGGCCAAUGGAUGAUACUCAACCUGAAAGAACAAAUUUGUACAAUUUGAAACCUUAGUGAGGUAUAUAUAUUUGGAAAUUAAAGCUUCGUAAAAAUGAAUGAAUCUAUAAUUUUAAAACUUUGCAGAGCAGAUUUGAAAUUUCUUCAAAAUAAAGGGUAAUGCUAGCUAUAGCUAGCUAGUAACCAAUACAAUUUAAUUCAGUAUCAAUAAACAGAUUCAUAGAACAUGAUCGCAAAUGAAUAAUUAAAUUUGAUCAAAUUCAAUAAAUCCGAUCUAGCAUAUCAAAUGUGAUUGUGGUAAUAUUCCUUGUUAAAAAGAAAUGCUUGCAAACUGUGAGGACAAUGCAAAGUGGUGAAACAGUAAUAGAUAUAAGAAAGUGGUAAGGUGAGAAGAUUCCGGUGGGCGCAAAAUACGUACACGUGGAAAUUCACAAAACGAUAAUAAGUAGUUGUGUGGUUUGAGAAUAGAUUCUAGUUACAAGAAUCCACAAAUCCAUUUGUGAUUGCUAUAAGAGAUUUUAAAGAAUCUAGAGAGGGUGUAAAAUACUUGUUAAUGAAUUGCUACAAUAUAUGUUUUUGUUGAAGUAAUUAACUUUGUGUGAAAUAAUGCUUGGUUGACCCUAGGUUAGGGGUUGCAAUCAAGCUUCUCAUUCACGAGUCAGCUCGUGUUCGACUCGAAACCAUCGAAUCUCUUGUUUACUAAAUGAGCCGAAUACGAGUGAGCUUUACGAGCUGGGGUCAGCUCGCUCGUGUUUGGCUCGAUAACAACUCGAAUACAUAUAUUUUAUAUUUAUAUAUAUAAAUAAGCAAUUAUAUAUAUAAAGUGUAAAUUUUUAUUAUUUAAUUUUUAGCCCAAUCUAAAUAUAAAGCCCAACUCAAUUAUAAAAAGAUCAAUUUAUAUGUAAAGUUUCAACCAUUAGAUUAAAGUCUAAUGGGUAAUAUCUCAUAAAUUUAUUUUCUAUAUAUAUUCAUUCUAAUCCUUUUAACUUAUUGUUCGUGAGCUAGCUCGUGUUCAACUUCAAGUAGAAUACGAGCUAAAUUUUUGGGCUCGAUAUUUUAACAAGCCAUCGUGUUUGGCUUGUUUGUGAAAUGAGCCGAACACGAGCCAAUCCUAACUCGCUCAUAAGCUUGUUGACAACCCUACCCAAGGUAGCGUUUGAUUGGAGAAGAAGGAAGAAAAAAGGAUCCUUAUUUUCCCUGUUCAUCCAAAUGGAAUAUUGUAUGAUUACCAGAUAAGAGGGUGGAAUAUUUGCAAUUCCAGUACUGUUCCUGUGAGAUCCCUGGUGUUUGACUGUGGAGGCUUGUCAACAGCUCUGGAGAGUGUCGGGACAAGCCCGAGUCGCGUUGGCAUCAAAUAGACGUAAAAUGGUCUCCGUGCGACGCGAGGGCAGCUUAUCGCGAAGAAUUCUGCAAACAGCAGAUUUUCCUGCUUGCUGUACCGGUACAAGAGCAUGCUGUACCGGUACAACCAGCGCGGGGAAUGCUUGCUGUACCGGUACAAGGGUUUUCUGUACCGGUACAAGCUACGCGCACAGAUUUAGCUGCUCUCGGGUUGGCUCUUGUACCGGUACAAGAGCUCGUGUACCGGUACAAGAGGGUAGGUGAGGGGGCAUUUGAGUAAAUUUUCACCUCGUUUGUAUCAGCAGCUCCCUCUCUCUCUAUAUAGCUUCGAGUAGAGAGAGAGAGGGGGCUUCCUGUUGCUCUUCACCAUCUCUCUCUCUCUCUCUNNNNNNNNNNNNNNNNNNNNNNNNNNNNNNNNNNNNNNNNNNNNNNNNNNNNNNNNNNNNNNNNNNNNNNNNNNNNNNNNNNNNNNNNNNNNNNNNNNNNNNNNNNNNNNNNNNNNNNNNNNNNNNNNNNNNNNNNNNNNNNNNNNNNNNNNNNNNNNNNNNNNNNNNNNNNNNNNNNNNNNNNNNNNNNNNNNNNNNNNNNNNNNNNNNNNNNNNNNNNNNNNNNNNNNNNNNNNNNNNNNNNNNNNNNNNNNNNNNNNNNNNNNNNNNNNNNNNNNNNNNNNNNNNNNNNNNNNNNNNNNNNNNNNNNNNNNNNNNNNNNNNNNNNNNNNNNNNNNNNNNNNNNNNNNNNNNNNNNNNNNNNNNNNNNNNNNNNNNNNNNNNNNNNNNNNNNNNNNNNNNNNNNNNNNNNNNNNNNNNNNNNNNNNNNNNNNNNNNNNNNNNNNNNNNNNNNNNNNNNNNNNNNNNNNNNNNNNNNNNNNNNNNNNNNNNNNNNNNNNNNNNNNNNNNNNNNNNNNNNNNNNNNNNNNNNNNNNNNNNNNNNNNNNNNNNNNNNNNNNNNNNNNNNNNNNNNNNNNNNNNNNNNNNNNNNNNNNNNNNNNNNNNNNNNNNNNNNNNNNNNNNNNNNNNNNNNNNNNNNNNNNNNNNNNNNNNNNNNNNNNNNNNNNNNNNNNNNNNNNNNNNNNNNNNNNNNNNNNNNNNNNNNNNNNNNNNNNNNNNNNNNNNNNNNNNNNNNNNNNNNNNNNNNNNNNNNNNNNNNNNNNNNNNNNNNNNNNNNNNNNNNNNNNNNNNNNNNNNNNNNNNNNNNNNNNNNNNNNNNNNNNNNNNNNNNNNNNNNNNNNNNNNNNNNNNNNNNNNNNNNNNNNNNNNNNNNNNNNNNNNNNNNNNNNNNNNNNNNNNNNNNNNNNNNNNNNNNNNNNNNNNNNNNNACCAGGAUCGAGGCAAGGGCGUCGCGAGUUAGAGCCCUACCCGACGUGCUGAGCUAGAGGUGCCCUACUGCAGGUAGAUGUUUUGUUUCGAGUUUAUGUACAUAGUUGACUUAACUCGCCAGUGCGAGUAGCUCUGUAUUUUGGAUCUGAACUAUAUAUAUGAAACUCUGUUUUAUUUAGCUUCAGUUUUCUCUAGCAGCUCUCUACUACUGUUCGUAGUAGUGUUUGAUUUACAGGUACAGCUAUCGCUUCGUAUACAGGAAAAAUUUCUUUGUAUACGACGGAUUUGUCGGCGUGCCCGGGGAACGUGUAAUCCGGGGCGUGACAGUUCCCCCAUUCCCCAACUAAAAUUUAAAGCUGUCCAAAAUAUUCAAUAUACCAUACCCAACUCGGAUCCUACCCGAACCCUAUCCGAACCUGAACCGGCUCCGAUAAAAAAUAAAUUGUAUACGGGUAAAAAAAAUUACCCAUUAAAGUUUCAGGUAUGGGUUCGGAUAUUUUAUAUCCAUACCCGAUUUGGACCCGAGCCGAACCCAACUUUUAAAUAGGUUGGGUAUGGAAUAUUUUUCAAAUUCGGACUUGGACCUGGACUUGGACCCGGACCCGAUGAAAUAUUCGAUUGUAAAUAAAAAAAACUUAAACUUUUAAAGUUGAGGGAUCGAUUUUAAUAGGACUUAUAGAUGAGGGGUUUCUAAAUAUUUUUAUCCUAGUGAAACACUGAAACCCUAGCCGCUCUUUUUCUCUUUUAUUUUCUCUAAUUUUUUUUACGCUUUGUUUUUUACUCUUUAUUUUUUUUGUUUCAUUUCCGCCUAAGAGUUUUUUAUGAAACAAUAUUUCCAUCGUUGUCAUCAUCAACAACAUUAAUCCUCUGCAGGCGUAGCACGAAUGAGUUUUUUCCAAAUUCCUUCUCCAAUUAUAGUCGAUAACCUAGUUUUUUUUAAUGAAUAUUCUAUUUCAUAAAUUUUCUAAUUCCUCUUUAUUUUUCUCUUUUUUUGAAUGUUUUUUUUUUUUUUAGAGAUAGGUUGCACGCUACCCGCUUCUUUUAUUUUAUUUAGAAAUAAACUUAGCUAGAAAUGUGAAUCAACUAGGAUUCGAACUUGGGUCUCGGGUACCAACCACCGAGCCCUUUGCCACUUGCUCUAGGGACGGUCGGUUCUUUUUUUUGAAUGUUAGUAUAUAAUAAUAGUAGUUACUAUAACUUACAUUUUCUUUAUAGGGGGAAAUUUAUAGUUUGUCCAACUAUUUAAUAAAUAAGUCUAUGAAAAAAAUAUAUGUAUACGGAUACCCGUAUCCAAUUUAGACCCGACCCAUACUCGGUCUUGAGCGAGUAGUAUAUAGAUAAUCACUACCCAGACCCUAGUAAUUAAGUAUCCAGACCCGGACCCGAUCCGAAGAUAAAUGAGUAGGGUAUAUUUUUUUUCUAACCACUUCUUUUUAGGGUACGGAUACAGUAUAUUAGCUACACAGACCCGACCCAGUCCACGGAGUAAAAUUAUUAAUUAAACUAUAGAAAAUUAUAAAUAUAAUUAAUUAAUAAAUCAUAAAAAUAUUUAUUUCCUAAUUAGCUAAAUAACUAAUCAGUUAACUUAUUAAAUUAAUUAAUUAACUUGCUGAGCAAUUAAUUUUUAACAUUGUUAACUAGCUAAUUAACUAAUUAAUUAUUUUAUAUGCUUAUCAAUUAAGUAAUAUUAAUAUUGAUUAAUUAAUAAAAUAUUUUGACUUACUUUUUAUAUAUAGUCAAUUAAUAAAUGAAUGUGAUUCUCCACUAUCUUGUACAAUGUUAAUAAUUAAUUAAUUAAUUAACUUAUUAAAUUAUUAUUUUUUAUUAUUUUGAUGUUUAUUAAUUAGGUAAAUAUUUUUAUUUUAAAUUAUAAAUGCUCUUAUCCCAACUAUUCAAAUUUAUUAUUUAAAUGCUAUUUUUAAUUAUUCGUAAGAUCAAUAACCUAAUUCUCAUCUAAACACAAAAUAGCCUAGUUCCUACUUAUUCCAAAAUAUAUCUAUAUCACAAAUAAACAUAAGAACAACUUUCUUCUGGACCAAUCUUAUCAUCUGUAGUUACAUAUUAACUCUUAAGGUAAACUAGUUAUGUACGCAUACUAAUACAUUGUGGAAAUUAAUUAAAUAUAAUAAUAUAAUGAUGUCUUUGAAAAAAAAUUGGACAAGAUAACAAAUAAAAAUAACACUAAAGUACAGUACCAUAGAGUGUAAUUAAGCCAUAAAUAAAAUAUGAAAAAACAACAAACUUUGCGCCAACUAAGAUCACAUGUAGUGUGAGGCCCCAGUUAUGCUGGAACGAAAUACUUGGGCCGAAAUUCGGUAGUGUCAAAAUCCAAACACAAGCAUUGAAUUGCGUCUCCCCCCAAAUUAAUUAAUAAUAUCUCACAUGCAUUACCGACCAUUCCUAGCACAAGUGACAAAGGGUUUAAUUGUUAAUAUCCGACAUUCCAAGUUCGAAUGCUAGUUAAUUCAUAUUUCCGGCUAAGUUUAUUUUGUAAAAAAUAAACGAAGUGAUCGAGUAGCAUACUACCGUUCUGUCAAAAAAAAAAAAUAUAUAUAUAUAUAUAUAUAUAUAUAUAUAUAUAUAUAUAUAUAUAUAUAUAUAUAUAUAUAUAUAUAUAUAUAUAUAUAUAUAUAUAUAUAUAUAUAUAUCUCAUUUUUUUUAUCACAUGCAUUGCUUAGAGAAAACUUUUUGAGUUAAAGUUAAUUUUUGUAUUUACAUUACUUACAAUUAAAAAAGCCCAAAUAGGUUUGGUUUGCCACUGAGCUAAUUAAUCUCUUUAAUUAUAUAUAUACUAAGGGCUUAGAGAAAGUUUAAGAUGUUUCUUAAAUUCGUCACUGGUAAGUGGUAAAUUAAUCUUUUGUAUGAUCAAAUUGAAGAUGGCUUUGCCAAACAAACUUGACAAUGGUUGAAGGUAUGAGUUCUGAUUACUAAGUUCAGUUUUGUUCAAAAAAUUGAAGCAAAGUUUUUGAUCCAACAGCUUGAGCUUUACCUACUAGGAUAUUGCCAUUUGAGUCUUGCUCACACAAUGGCAGAUCCAGAAAAUUUUUUUAGAGUCAAAUAUAAAAUAAAAACAAAUAGAAAAAACAUUAAAAAAAUUAUUGAAAUAAUUGUUAAGAAAUACUGCAUUAAAAAAUUAAUUAUAAUUGUUUUCGACGUAUUAUUUUAUUUUGGAAAUGAUGCAUGAUGGCAACAUUGAUUAGGAAAUUUUUUCCACUCAAACCACUAUUUUAUAUUUUGAAAGAAAUGUGAAAUAUUUUUUUUUAUAGUUUAUAGGUGCUUUUUUUUUUUAAUUGGAAUUCAUGUUUGUAACAUUCAAAACAGUGCCACAUGGGAGCUUUAAAAUGGAGUCAUUUAGUCAAUAAAAUAAAGUUAAUUAUAAAAUGAAACCCCACUUUAGAGAUGUGAAAAAAAGUAAUUUGGAGACUCCUACUAAUUAUAUAGAUCCAUCACUGUGCUCAGGUAAAUCAGGCAUGAACAAAAUUAAGAUUGAAGGUUCAAUCUUAAUCAUUCAUCAUUUAUUUUGUGUGCAUUGUGAUUUAAAUUCAAUUAAUACUUUUAUUCGUACUAUUUACUAAUUUCCCAUUUAAGGAGUGCUCUCAGCUGGAGUUCAAAUUUCCCAUUUGCGACGGGCAUUUAUUUUUGUUUAAUUAAUUUGCCAAAUAUACAUGACAUACGUAUAAAAUGCAAAUACUUCACGAGUUUAUGUACUUUUAAAAGCAUCACUACUAUCAAAUUUUUAGAAAUUGGAUGCAUGUUAGUACGAUCAACCGUCAAAUUAUAAACCCUAGACGUCCAAGGAUUAAGAAUUUAGAAGUAAGCAUUAUUCACGCACUUUUAAAAGUAUUUCAACCCCACUAAAUAUUUCACUAUCCUACGCUGUCCCGAUCCAAACCAACUCCUAGUUUGAAACAUGCCCAUUGCAUCUCCAUACGAACAUGUCCGUUGCAUCUCCAUACGAACAUGUACCCGUUGCAUCUCUAUACGAUUCAAAUCUGAAAUUUUAAAUUUGAAUUCUAUGGAGUUUCAAGACUUGAGGAGAAAAAGAACUGCAUCUAUCCACGCUUGAGGUUUAUUAGAGUUAGACAACAAACGUCUAGUUAAACACCUAGUUAUGUAGUAUGAAAACUAGUCUAGCACAGCUACUUGUACUGUGCAGUCUCACCACGUAUUUCACACUAAGUAGAGGCUGUCAGUAGAAACAGGAUCUUUAAAGGGCUCGGUCCCUCUCCUGAUUCCAGGGUUUCUCUAAUCCUAUUCGCGGACGAUACCUUCUUCUUCGGCGAGGCCAAAAAGAGAUACAUGAAAAAUCUUAAAUUUAUCUGGUAACUUUUUGAAUGGGCUUCCGGGAUGAAGGUUAAUAGAACGAAGACCGAACUUUAUUACACUGGACAGAUCGAGGGGAAGGAAACCCGACUUGUGACUCUCCUAGGAUGCAAGGUUGGGUCCCUUCCUACCACUUACCUUGGUCUUCCCCUCUCCACUAGGGCCCCAACCGCAGAGGGCUGGAGAGGGAUCAUUCAAAAAAUCCAGAGCAGAAUUGACGGGUGGUACGCGAAACUACUUUCCAGAGGAGGCAGACUCAUUCUGGUGAACGUUGUAUUAACCAAUCUACUACUCUAUUUCCUGGCAAUGUUUAAGGCACCAAAAUGGGUGACCCACGGCAUCGAGUCCUUACAUAGAGAUUUAUUUUGGUCUAGGGGAAGCAAACUACCUGGCAAGGGCUGUCUAGUCGCCUGGAAAAACGUAUGUAAGAGUAAGGAGGAGGGUGGACUUGGGAUCCUAGACAUAACCAUUAUGAACCGAGCUCUUUUAACUAAAUGGUGGUGGAAAUUCCACACUGAGCCUCAACUCCUGUGGGACAAGAUUAUCCACACCUUAUUUUAUCAACGUCGAAGACCCCNAAAUGGUGGUGGAAAUUCCACACCGAGCCCCAACUCCUGUGGAACAAGAUCAUUCACACCUUGUUCUAUCAACGACGAAGACCCCUGAAAGAAGGCCAAACCUUUAGACCACACUCCUUUUGGUGGAAGGGAAUCCUGUGCCAGAGGGAUAUUUUCAGGUGGGGCGUUUCUUACAAACUUGGUGAUGGGAUUAAUAUAGACUUUUGGUCGGAUCGAUGGUGAGGGGAUUCCUCGCUACACCUUUCUUUUCCCGAGAUCUACGGAGCAUCAACCUGCAAAUGCUUGAGAAUCAUCGACUGUCUGUCAGGUGACGGCUGGGACUGGAUCGUGUUUCCUGCCUACAAUAAUAGGAAUGGGCUUGGGUGGGGAUCCACCAUGACUGAGUUUCAGGAUAGGAUUUCCGCCUACAAGGUUGAGCAAGGGCCAGAUAGAAUCCUCUGGAGAUGGAGCCCCGGGGGACGAUUUACGGUGAAAUCAACCUAUCGUGCACUGAGUGACGGGGGUACGAGGGAUGCCUGUGCUUGUACGUUUGGCGACUGAAAAUCCCACUCAAAGUAAAGGUGCUUUGCUGGCUCAACCUUAAGAAGAGACUCCCAACAGCUGAUAACCUCACGAGGCUAGGCUGGUCAGGCAACUCCGUUUGUGUGAUGUGUGGAGGUGAAGAGGAAAAUGUCGACCACUUAUUCACACAGUGCGUCGUUACCAAAUUCCUCCGAGUGAUGUCCGUGGAAUUACCCCAACCUUCGGACUUGAGGGAGGAUGUCCAUUCUCUUUGGAACAGACUGAUGGCUAGCACGAGUGGACCAUUAAUGAGGAUUCGGUUAUGCACUAGCUGCGUGCUGGUGGGUCAUUUGGGAAGCACGGAACGGAGUAAUCUUCCGGUAGACGCACCCGAACCCGAACCUUAUGGCGCAGAAGAUCCCGCUGUUGACAAACUCAUGGGAAAACUCUGCUCCCGGUUAAUCUUCUUCUCUCUUUUUUUUCGCCUUUUUUCGCCGCCCAUUGAGGCCUUGCUGCUUCAUCCAUGUAGUUUAAUUCACCGUUCCAUUGAAUGAAGCGGGUAGCAUACUAUCUUUCUCUCAAAAAAAAAAAGUAUACCAUCCAAUCCUACCUACAAUUAAAACGUUAGGUACAACACCCAAGUAAUUAAAUACAUUCAAAAAGAGUUAAUAAUCCAUAUUAAAAUCGAUAAUCAAAAAGGUGAGAGUUCACCUGAGAGUCUGAGAAAUCGAUACAUCAGUAUUUAUACAUAAUCUGAGAGAAUCCUAUUAUGCACUACGCACUAGAUGGUAUGCCACAGCGCUGCCGUUGCGCACAGUACUAACUGAUGAUCCAAUUUGCUGACGCGACCAUGCAGCUAUUCGGCCCAACAAACCAAACAUCAUCUUAAUCCAAUACCAGCCACCUCCAAUCACCAGCGUAUCACUCUCGUCACAGCGUACUCGACACUCGUCUCAAGCAUAUGUUAUUCCACGUUAAUGUGAUAAGAUGUAUCAUAAUGUAUCCUUAGGCCACUUGCUUGGUAUCCAUUGUAAUCAUCGAGCCUUUACCCUUUAUAUAUCCAUUACACAUAUGUCCAUAACCACUCUCCAAAGGGUUACAAUCGACUGUUUAUAACUAAGGAUAUCUGAACAACACAAAACCACAUCGGCACAUGCAACCGGGGUAGCACACUAUAUAUGCUAAUUAACCACCUUGAUUAAGCUUAUCUAACACAGCACACUUUGCAUGUGCACCCAAUCUGAUACAUCAACUCAAUUUGACUCGUGCUACACCGAAAUCAGACUCUUAUAUACAUAACAGUCAUUAGUAUCAACUCUAUCACUCACCGACCGUUCCUAGAGUAAGUGGCAAAGGGCUUGGUGGUUAGUACCCGAGGUCCUAAGUUCGAAUCCUAAUUGAUUCACAUUUCCAGCUAAAUUUAUUUCUAAAUAAAAUAAAUGAAGCGGGUAGUGUGCUACCUAUCUCUCAAAAAAAAAAAAAAAAAAUUUAAGGACGGUCAAUCAUUAGUAUCAACCAUUAAAUUCUUUGCCACUUAUUUUAGAGACGGUCGGUGAUCUGUUGUCAUGAUUGUUGAUCCACAAACUUUGGAUAAAAAUUUUUUAUAUAAAAAAAAUAAAAUUAAAAUUUUAGAAUUAACGCGGAAUCAAGAGGUUACUUAAUAGAGAAUUAAUGUUCGAAAAAAAAGAAAAAUAGUAAUAAUACCAAACACGUCUGAGGCUUUGUUUGGAGCACAAAUUGUGUUCCAUAUAACUAUGUGCAAAUUAAGUUGGGGUAAAAGAGAGAGAAAUGCUAAAUUUACAGUCUAAAAAAAAUUAUAGAAUUACUACUCUUAAAAUUUUCCUCCUGAAGUUAAUACAAUUUUUUUAGACUUUAAUAUUAAAAGAAGAAGAAUGAUAUGGCAAGUAAAAAAAAAGAGAUCUUUGGAUGUUUAAGAUUAUAACCAAAAAUUAAUUAUAGAUAUAUAGCAUUUGCUCAAAACAAAAAAAUCCACCCUUUAUUAGACCGGCCAUGCACUGGGCUAAUCCAGUGGUGUCCACCCAGAAAUGGUCCAUUCAAAAAUAAAAAAUCCUCAUCAAUUUAAAAAAAAAGGUUCACUUAAUUUCUCCCUCCCUACUUAAUUGAUUCACAGGGAAGCACCAAAUUAGUAACCGAAACCUACUACUCUACAUGAACCCACUUCCCUCCGCUGGGGACCCCGCCGUGCACCACGAAGAGCAUGUAGUACCCCGGCGGCGCCACCGCGGCAGUCGGCGGCGCGAACCCCUCCGCCGCGCAAAAUCCGCCCGAAGAAGAGCUGCAAUUCACCACGGCCGCCGCCUCCAACACCAACACUCUCUGGCUCAUCGAGAACGAGUGCGUCGUGAACGCCGGCGCGACCAUCGUCACCGCCACCUCCCCCUCCCCUCCCUUCAUCUGAAACCCAAUCGUAAUCCUUUCGCCGUACUUCCACUCCGACUUCACGCUUGUUAUCCUCGGCCGCGGAGUUUUAGACCCCUUCGGGUCCAGGUACGGCGGAUAGAACGCCUCCAAACUUAGCUCAGUUGGAUAGAGCGAACCGGCGAACACAUACCGGAUGUUCGGAUUGCUCCCGCCGACCAACACGCGUCCGUCCACCAUCAACCGGGCGGUGGAAUGGUAAAGCCGGGGUGUCGUCGUCGGCCGCAGCACCUCGAAUCCCCGACUCUCGUUACUUCGAAUGCCGCCGACCUUAUAAAGAACCGGAUGAAGCACCGGCUCGCGGCCCAACCCCCAUCCGGCAGUCCCCCUCGCUGCGCCGUUUAUGAUCAGCACGUCGCCGGUCGGCAACAAAACCAUGUCGCCCAUCACUCUCCCGACCGGCAUUUCCUCCAUUUCCCACUCCGGCGACUCCUCGGUGAUCGCCAGCCGCCCGCACGAGCUCGACGCGGGCGCGAACGUGCCGUUGCUCGCCAUGGAGUACGACGUCGGCGGCGCCCCACCGCAUACCAUAACCUCGGCUUUCACGGUUGAACCGCGCGCGCUUCGGUUAAACGUCAUCAGCGGAAGCAGCACCGACGAGCCCGAGCUCGGGUAGUUUCGUGACGCUCCCCCCGGCAUGUCGGGGAAGUUCUUGAGAACUCUGUGGUUGGCGUAGUCGAGCAGGACCGACUUGUUGUUGGCGAAGACGAAUAGGUUGCCGUCGGGGGCGAGGUGGACGAACGGAUAGAGGUUGUUCUCCGAGGCGUCCUUCGCCGCCCGGAGGAACGGAAGGGCGAAGACGGUGCGGUCGGCGGGAGCGACCUUCGGCACAAACUCGUAGCUGAAUUGGCGGCGGCCGCCGACGACGAUCACUCUGCCGUCGGGCAGUAUGUGGUCGGUGGCGUACCAUCUGCGUGCCGACAGCCCCUCCAAGUCCUCCACCCAAUCGCAGUCUUCGCAUGAGGAGAGAAACCUAUUAAAUUUUCAACUAUUGUACGUUAUUCCAAUAUUUAAAGGGAAAACUUCAAAAAAAAUCCAUGUGGUUUCGUAGUUUCUCAUUUUGCCCCUCUGUGGUUUAAAAUAUAUCAAUUUGGCCCCAUGUGGUUUCUUUUUUCUCUUUUUCUUAUCAAUUUUAUUAUUUUUUUCUUAAAUCAGUGAUAAAGUUAAAAUUAAAGGGUACUAAAGUAAUAUUUGAUAAAUCUAGAUGGGUAUCUGAAAUUUUUUGUAUAUAAUUUAAUAAAUAAAUAUUAACGAAAAAGCUACCGUAAAGAUAAAAACGAAACCACAGAAAAGGCAAAUUGAUACACUUUAAACCACAAGGUACUAAAGUGAGAAAAAAUGAAACACAGGGGGUUUUGAAAGUUUUCCAUUUUAAUGCAUGAACAUUUUAUUAUUAUAUUAUUAUAUAUAUAUAAUAUAAAAGAGAGAGUAUUUAAAUAAUGAAUAGUACGCUAUUAUAUAUUUUCGAGCUGUUAAAUUAUUUUUUAAAAUAAAAUAAAUAGUUCGCAAGUGAAAUAAUUUGUAUUUUCAGUCGGGCAAAAAAAAAAAAAAUCUCGUUCUUAAAUCUGACCAAAAUAGGACACAAUAUCUAAAUUAUUCAGUAUGAAAGAUUUUUUUGUAUAGUUUGAAUUUAAGAAUUUAUUUUUUAUUUUUUAAAAUAUUUUUUUGAGAGAAAGAAAACAUGUUACCCACUAGAAAUAUGAGGCAACUAAUUUUUAAACUUGUACGAUCAUGAAUAUCAACAACUAAAUCUUUUGCCACCUGUAUUAGGAACGGUCUGUAUUUUUUAAAACAUAUUGUUAUGCAUGUAUUUGAUAAAACUAAAAUAUUUGUACAAUAGAAUAAUUUAUUUUAAAAAAUAAUUUUAAAACUGAAUACUUUAUUUUAUUUUAAUAUUUGAUCGUGUUUUCAUCUAGCUAUAAAAUAUUGAUAAAUUUCAAAUACUAUCCAUAUGGUUUCAUAUUUUUUCACUUAAAUAUUCUGUAGUUAAAGUGUAUCAAAUUUUGUACCCUGUGUUAGAACAAUAAAUAUGUUCAUACAUCGAAAUUUAGAAUAAUGAGUUGUUUAAUUGGCACAGCAAGCACCUGACGGCGCGGUCGCCGUCGUUGAAGCCGCCGGUCUGGACGAGGGUGCCGUCGGGGAGGAGCGCGCCGGAGGAGCACCAGGUGUCGGUGCGGACGGUGAGGGGGCGGACGGCGCGCGCGCGGGGGUCGAACUCGACGGCGUGGGCGGUGCAGUCGUGGGGCAGGGCCUGGUCCUGCGCGUCGUCGCGGCACCGCCCCGCCGGCAGCGAUAUAUUGGAGCGCCCGAAAUCCGUGCGGUCGAACGCCACCAGCUUGUCCGUCGGCGGCAGCGGCGCGACGUGCAUCGCCGAGACGCCGACGCUGCGCUUCAGGAGCUUCCAUGAGCCGCUGUAGUUUGUGUUACUGCUCAGAUCAAACGAGGGGAGAUGCAACGAUGCGACUGCAGUAGUAAUAGGAAUGAUGAGGAAGAGGAGAACAGUGGCGGUGCAUGGAUUAUAAGAAGUUGCCAUUGUUGUUGUGUGUGCCCUCGCUCUACUCUCUCUCUCUCUCUCUCUCUCUCUCUCUCUUUGCUUGCUAUUUUGAAGGGUACGUAUAGAAACACGUACUGGUGGGAAUUAAUGGGAGCUUGAUUGCAUGUGGGGGCGCCUUUUGAGAUGAGAUGGGACGUAGAAGACGAGGGGAGAGUGCUGUUGAGUAAAUGUGCGUCUCCUCGGGGUGUACCCAAAAGAGUAAAAGCAUUACUAUUUACAAAUUUUACGAAAUCUUCUUACUUACAAAUAUAUAUUUGUAUUGUUAUUAUUAUUAUUUUACAGAAAAAACUUUAAAUAUCAUUCUUGUGAUUUCGCACUUUUUUACUUUAGUAUCCUAUGGUUUAAAGUGUAUCAUUUUCUACCUUAUAAUUUUAAUUUUUUCUUUUUGUUAUUCUCUUUACUAUUUUUUUUUUGUUAAAUUAGUGACAAAGUUAAAACUAAAGUGUACUAACAUUAAUAUUCGAUAAACUAUAGGUAGGUAUCUGAAGUUUUUUUGUAUAUGAUUUAAUGAAAAGUUAAAAAAUAUGCUGACAAAAAGUGUGAUAUAUAUGAUAAGUAAUUCAAAGUUUUGUAUAGAGAAAUAUAACAUGUUAUCUAAUAUUUUUUUUAAAAAUGAACUUAGUUGAAAAUAUGAAACAGCUAAACUUCCAACUCUGAAUCUCGAAUAUUAACCAGCAAUUUUUUUAUUAUUUAUGCUACAGACAAUUGAAUGUAGAGAGUUACAAAAUUGCAAAUUAACUAAAGUGGAUUGUACACCUGACACUCCUCAAUUUGAAAAGGCCCUUUGACCAUUUAGCAAGAGGGUUAACUUUAUUUUUAGUAAAAAUCAAAUCAUAGAUUCUUAUGUUUGGAUUGAUAACGUGAAAUACUACAUGUAUAUCUUUGGACGUAGAUCUAUAUCCUUGUAUCCAAGUCACCACUCACCAGCUGAAUUUUGAUAGAAAAUAUUAUUCAUUAUUUAGAUAAGGCCAAUAACUUUAAUCUUGAAUGGAAAAAUUCGAUUAUUUAUUUUUAAAAGAUCGUUCAAUAUUAAUCAUUCAUUUUAUAAUCAUUUGAUUGACUUUAUUAUAAUUUUAAAAAUUUUAAAUUAGAUUUUUAAAUAUUAUAAAUUAUAUUUUACGAUAUAAAUCAUUAAUUUAAAAGUUCUAAAAUCAAAAAUAACUUAUAUAAGUAUAAAGUUCUUUGCACUUAUAAUAAUAUAGUAGCAAUACUCUCUUUAAAAAGAGAGGGAGUUAUGGUAUGGAAAAUAGAUAUAAAUGAGAUGAGGGUAGUUGGAUAGGUUAUUUUUUAUUUGUUUUCUUUUCGUUAACUGGUGCGGGUAAACUCACGCAACACGAUCCUGCAUUUUUCUUUUUUUAUGUAUCAUUUGGUUCCAGAGUAAACUGCUUUUUAUUAAUUUUGGUACAGAUACAAGGCCAAUUUGCAUAAAAAAUCUAUAAGUUUUGAGCUUUUGCAAUACUAGAUCACCUUUUCUAAUUUUGCAGAUUCGAACCGAAUUUUUUGCCAUCGGACGAAAAUACCCUUACUCAUUUUCUUUCUCUCUUUUUUUUCUUUCUCUUCUUUUUUUUUUUUUCCUUCGCCAUUUUUUUCUUCCGCCUUCUCCUCCUCCGCAGCGCUCUCCCCUACCCCCAUCAAUCAUGGCCCUUCCCAAAAUGCCCCUCCCCAAACUCCUCUCUCUCUUCAUCCUCUUCCUCCUCUCUCCUCUCUCCUCCUCUUCUUCGUCCUCCUCCCCCUCCUAAUCCGAUCUCACCCCCGACGAGUUCCGCGCCGCACGCCUAGGGCUCGUCCCGGGUCUCGCCUCGGCGGCGGCUCUGCGUCGCGCUGCGCCGGGGAUCGUCCCGUGUUCUGGAACCUUACAAGGAGGCGGAGCUGCUUGUGCGCAAGCGCGACCUCGGCGGCGGCGGCAGCGGCGCUAGGGAGCCAGAAUUUUAGUUCNNNNNNAUGUGAAAUAUAUUGAUCUUCAAAAAAAAAAAUUAAUAAAGCAAACUAUAUAUAAUAAAAAUUCGAAGUACAAUAAUAUAAAAGAAAAUUUUAAAAAUUUUAUUUACCAUGCAAAAGUUAGAAUAGUGCUAUAUAAGAUAAUUUGCAAAUUAUGUAAAAUUAUGUAAAGAAAUAAAAUCUAAAAAUAAAUUGUAAAUGAAAAUUAUUUUACUAACAGUCAAUUCAGAAGAUAAAAAGUUUUUAUUCAUAAAGAAAGAAUUCAUAAAAAUUUCAAAUUUUUACUUUAUAUUCUUAAAUACUAAAAAUCUAAAAUCCAAUAGAUUGCCAUUGGAAGGCCCCGAAAUAUUUUAAGAAGUUCUAAAAUUAGAAUUUAAACAUGAAUAAAUUAUCAUUAUUAUCAUAAUUAUUGAUUAUGAUCUAACAAUAUAUGGACAACUCAGAACUCAAUCAUUAAUAAUAUUAUAAUCAAGAAACAAAUAUUAAACAAUUAACAGCUUAAUACUAAACACAAUUAUACAAAAAAAAUUAGAUUACUAAAAUACUCUUAUUGAAAUGAAGUAUGAAGCAAUCCAAAUAGGAGAGAGAGAUUACGAGUCUAAUUAGAUUUUGUUAUUUUGGGGCACUGCAAUUGAACUUGAACCGCCGUUACCGGAGGCGGACGAGGCGAGCACUACCGAGGCAUCGACGGUCGGCACUCGGCAGUCGGCAAGCCAAAGAAGUAGCCGCGGGGGCCGAGGAGAGAGAUUGAGAGAAGAGAGCAAUUGGGAGAGAGAGAGAGAGAGAGAGAGAGAGAGAGAGAGAGAGAUUUGCUGUUUACCGUUUACGUGUGGUUUGGGUGGUAGGUGUGUCAGCAUGAGGAGACGCGCGAGCGGCGGACGGCGGCGUCAUGAAUGCUGUGCGCCUCUGCGUGGAGAUGUAGAAUCUUGGCCCACAAGCCAACAGAUUUUUUUAAAAAAAUUUCAUUUUGGUCCUCUAGUUUGCAAUAUUUUUAUUUUCUCAAUAGCUUAAUAAUGGACCUUCUUGUAAUUUUGAGAAUGUGGGUUGGGCCAUGGCCAUUGUCGGUCCCCACAUAGCUCCGUCCCUGAGCGGUGCGGAGGUACUCGCGGUGGAGGACGGCCUCGUAGAAGACGAAGGCCUCAACGAGGUAGGAGUCGCUGGUGCGGCAGUACUUGCCGUAGUAGAGCUGGGCGAUGCGGGACGCGACCUCGCCCACCUCAAGAUCGCCAUCCGAGUCCUACUCUCCAACGAGGGAGAUGAGAGCGUCCAAAAAAUGUAAUUUUUUAAGGUGUAAAAAAUGGUGUAAUGGUGCAAAAAGGAAGAAGGAAAAGGAAGAUGAGGAGAAGAAAAAAUUGUACAAUUUUGGACAAAAUUGUGCAAAAUUGGGCAAAAUGAUGCAAAACUGUGCAAUUCUCAUCAAAAUUGGCCUAAUUUUUUGCUCAAUUUUGCACCAUUUUGCCCAAUUUUACACCAUUUAGAUGAAAUUUACUUUUGUUUUCUUCUUCUUCUUUCAAUUUACACUAUUCUUUUUCUUCCUCUUCUUCCUCUUUCUUUCUCCUCCUCCCUGAAACCCUAUGAAGAAGGUAGGAUGCGGUCCCCUGGCGGCAGCGGCAGCGGCAGCGGAGCGUGGUGCGGCGGAGCGGAGAAGGUGGGAUGCGGCAGUAGCAAUGGCGCGGGUGGCGGCCGCGGCAUCGUGUGGGAUGCGGUCCCCUAGCGGCGGUGGCAGCGGAGCGCUGCGCGGCGGAGCGAAGAAGGUGGGAUGUGGCAGCGGCAACGACGCAGGUGGCGGCAGCGGCGUGGGUAGAGGGAUCGGGGGGAGAUCCGGGCGCGGUGGGGUCGAACGGAGAGGAGGAGGAAGGAGGGGAGGCGGGGCUGGUAGUAGAGGUAGGCGAACGCGAGCGCGGCGGCAGCAGCGAGGGCGAGCGCGAGUGCGGCGACGGGGGUGCAGCGGUGGGUGGUGGAAGAAAAAAAAUAGCGAAGGAAAAAAAAGAAGAGAGAGAAAAAAGAAGAGAGAAAGAAAAGGAAUAAGAGUAUUUUCGUCCGAUGGCAAAAAAUCCGGCCCAAAUCUGCAAAAUUGAAAAAUGUGGCCUAAUUUUGCAAAAGUUCAAAAUUUGUGUAUUUUUUAUGCAAAUUGGCCUAGAUACAAAUUUUAGAAUAAAACUAAUUUUGUAUUUAGAUAAAAAUUUGAUUAUUUUCGGAAAUAAAAAAACUAACGUUGGAAUAGUUAAAUUGAAAUAGUGAGAAUAAAAGUAAUUACAGUUUAAAAAUAAUAUUUUAUCUAAUUAGUUGACAUAAAAAUAUUAAUUAAAAAAUUAAUUAAUAAUUUAACAUUAUAAUUAAAAUUAGAUUUAGAUUUUAAUUAAAUUUGUUCCCACUUAGAAACAAACUUAUUUAGGGAGAAGGUGGAACAGUUGUUCUAAAAUUAUACCAACUUAUUUCUAAAAAAAAAACUACUAUUUCUCCUACUCUACUAAAAUAUUAUUUACCAUUUGGUAUAGGGAUUAAGGGGGGAAUAAGGGGUUAUCCCCUCUUUCUAACCAAACACAAAUUUUUGAAUUCGAGAAUAAAGUCCCUGAGAUAAACUGGUAUACUCUGGUAUAAGUUUGGAAUUGUUGUUCCAUUCUUUUUCCUGGAACAAAAUUAUUUCUAAGUGGAAACAAGGUUAACUAAAGUCUAAAUUUAAUUUCAAUUAUGGUAUUAACUUAUUAAUUAAUCUAAUUAAUAUAUUUAAAAUAUUAUCCAUUGCUUAAAUAAUAAAAUAAAUAAUUAAUUAAUUAUAAUUAAUUAGCUAACUAAUUAUUAGUAAUUUAAUGUGUUUAUUUAUAAACUAAUUUUUAUAUUGUUCAGCCACUAACAUUUUUAUUAAUCUAAUUAAUUUUUUUUACUAGUUAUCUAGCUAAAAUAAUUUACUAACUAAUUAAAAAGUUAAAUUAUAUUUUAUAAUUAAUUAAUUAAUAUAGUUUUAUUAUCUUAUACAAUAUUCAUAGCUACUAAAUUUAUUAACUUAUUAAAUUAUUUUUAAUUAAUAUUUUGAGGUUAAUUAAUUCGAUAAAAUAUUAAUAAUUUAAAAUUAUAAAUCUUAUUCCUUCCAUUCCAAUUAAACCAUCCGAAUACUAUAUAUAUAUAUAUAUAUAUAUAUAUAUAUAUAUAUAUAUAUAUAUAUAUAUAUAUAUAUAUAUAUAUAUAUAUAUAUAUAUAUAUGAUUCCUCGGGACUUGAGUGUGUAACAGAGAAAAUGUCUAAACAUAUAUUUGACUCUUUGAUGACAAUAAAGGACAGUAUUUAUUCAUUUUUCUUAUCUUAUUUUCUACUCUCUAUCACUGGUAGUUUUCUCUUAACUCGUGACGACCAAUUCAAUUUACAUUAAUCUUUGUUACACAAGGGAUAAGUUACACAAAUUAUUAACACAGCAAAGGUUGUCUAAUAGUUUGCUUGCAUGAUUAAUUAUUUAGGUCUUACGUUAAUAGCUGGAUAGAUUUGAAUUGACUUGGCAAAACUUGUGUAAAUUUGUAGAAUUCUUUUUAUAGAUCCGCAUGCUUUGAUUCUGGAGUUCUCCAAAGAAAAAUAAAUAAAUAAAUAAAUAAAUGAAGUAGCAUUAAUUUCCAAAGUAACACGAAAAGACUUACGGUUCUCUAUUACAUCCUAUGUAUUAGUACUUCACAUUCUUUAUUACGAAUCCGUCUAGGGUACUAUCGAUGGUAGAUUAAUAGUAUAUUAUUAUCUGUUUUCUAAACUUUGAAUCAAAUACUACUGGAACUACGACCACUAACCCAAACCAUCCAGAGACUGAAAAAUGGAUAGCAAACACUGGUUCUCUAUUAUUGAUAGUAUUCUAACUUUACUCCUCUAUAACAUCGUGUAAGUUAGCAGGUUGUGAUUUUUCGUCCCUGUUAUUAAUGUAUCAUAUAAGUCAUUUUAUUGGCUAAAUAACUUUUUGAAGGUCUUGUUUAAAUCAUUGUUAUUAGAUUAUUUUUUUGGCAUAUUUGUUGAGAAAUUUUGGCAUUUCAUAUCAGAAUUAGUCAGAAUUGAAGUCAGUUUAUGGCAUUUUCUCACUCUAGAAAGAAAAUUGAAAUUAAUAGAUGACUUUGCUUGUUGGCACGUGAUAUGCAGAACUUCUAUUUUGANAGUAUCCUAGCCUAAUUCUUAUUUUAUAUAUGUUAAUGUAAAAACCCAACUAUAGAAUUCUAGUUUUUACACUUCUUAUCCUAUAUAUAUAUAUAUAUAUAUAUAUAUAUAUAUAUAUAUAUAUAUAUAUAUAUAUAUAUAUAUAUAUAUAUAUAUCUUAUUAACAGGAACAAUCUAAUUUUUUUUCAAACGUAAAAUUACUCUACUUCUACUUAUAUCUGAAUUUAUACAUAUUUUUAAAAUAAAUAAUUUUUAUUUAAGCUAUGGACGCAAGAUCCACAUCACUCCUAAACUGUACUUAGGCUUAAUUUGGUAUUGAGGUAAAUCUAAUGCUAUUAGAUAAAAUAGAGUUGAAAAAAAAUAUAUAGAAAUAUAUUUCUGUGUUUUCGAUUAGAUCGCAGAAAAUAUAUCGUUCCCGAUUAACUGCAAUAUGCGGAACGUAAUAUUACAUACGAAAGUAAAUAAGAUAUUUUUUUAUUAUUAUUUUUUACCGCACAUACCGCAAUCUCUCGCAAUUUCUAACGAAGCCUUAGCAAGCUUGUGAUGUGCAGGCAGGAACCGGAAGCCAAAGGUGGAAGCCGCGGCACAGGUAUGGAGGUGUGCUGGCGGUCAGGGAUAGGGAGCAGUUACUGUGUUCUGGCUUGCUGGCUCGCAGGCUUUUAAUUCAAGCGCAGUGCAGACAGCAAAUCUAUCUUGGCUUGUCAGCUUUCUUAUCUACGGCCGUAUAUGUGCAAACAAACAAUUUUACAUCUGGUAACCAAAAUAAUAUAAUAUAAAUAAAUAUGGACUUUUACGAGUUCCAAGCACUAUUUAAGUGGAUAAUUGGUUGGGCUGGUGGAAAGAAAAAAUUUUAGAAUGCAACGGCUAUAUUGGUAACGUGACGUAAUAAAUUAAUUAAAUAUUUUUUUUUAAAAAUAUAUGUCCUAUCAUAAUUAUAAAAUAAUAUUUUUAUUAUACUUUUAUUUAAAAAGAAGAAAUAUUAUUGGCUUGUUAUUAAUGAUGUGGUGCAAGUGUGACAGUAUAGAAUUCCUCCGUGGAAAGGCCUCUUGCCUUUUAUGUUACUAAGAAGCGAACUUGUAGUCACAAAUUUAGACCGAAAAAAAAAAAAAAAGUUUUGCAUUUCCUUAUCACUUUAGUACUCUAUAGUUUAAAGUGUAUUAAUUUAGUACCACGUGGUUUCAUUUUUUUUUUUUCGUCAGCUUUUUCGUUAAUAUUUCGUUAAAUUAUAUACAAAAAACUUUAGAUACCCAUCUAGGUUUAUCGGACAUUCAUUUUAGUAUUUUCUAGUUUUAACUUUGUCGUUGAUUUAAAAAAAAAAAGAAAUUAGUAAAAUUAAUAAUAAAAAGAGAAAAAUGAAACCACAAGAUACUAAAUUGAUACAUUUUAAAUCACAAAAUAUUAAAAUGAGAAAGUGCGUAACUACAGUGAUGUUAUUUGAAAUUUUUUCAAAAAAAAAACGAAGACCAAAAAGUUUGAAGCUUUUUUUUGCCUAAUUAUAGCUGCGUUGGCAAGGAAGAAGUGAAGUUGUGCGCAAGCGCAAGCAGAUGAAAGAUCUUACGCUUGUAUCAUCACUGUUAGCAGCAACUUAAUUGAAUAAAAUAAUCACAGGUAAAUUAAGAAACAUCAAAAAAGGCUCCAUCUUUUCUGCGUAAACCAUAUAACCAUUCUCUUCUAAAAAUUGAGGCAUCUUUAGAUCACCAUGUAAGUAAGUAUAUAUAUCAGAUCUUGGUAAUGCCCAGCAGCUGUAAGACCAGUCGCUUUGCAAUGCCAUUCUGGACAAAUAACUAAGUACAAAAUUUGCAUGACAAGAAAGGUCACAGACAGUGAUAUGGCUAAUUUAACGUUAAAGUUUCUGAAAAAGUGCGGCUCAACCAAGCUAAGCCGAAAAUUCUGUUGAGUUUGAUAUAUUUUACAAUCGGCAUGAGAAAUCAUUAAACAGUUUCUGCUAUUAUAUUUUUAUAUUUUUUUCUAUUUAGAAACAAACAGAAUAUUUUUCUAUCAUCGUUUCUCACCGCACGUAACGCAACCUCUCCGCAAUCCUAAACGAAACCUACAUCUCCUAAAACACUAAAGCAAAAGCAAAGAUCAAGAAUACACAAUUCGUCAGAGUUCAAAAUAAAUCUUUACUUACAUGCAAACGGUAUAUACUUUACAAAUUAGGAUUGAGUGUAUUAAUAAUCUCGCCAAUCUUUCUUCGACUCGUUUAAGGCUGCUAACAUACACAGAUCACAAAAGAAGCAUAGCAAUUACAAGCAAAAAAACAAAAACAAAUGGCCACAAAUUUGUAGAAAAGGCGAUAGGAAAUAUAAGCAUAUGAAAUUUGAGCAACUCAACCAUUAAUUUCGGGCCAGUAAUAGUAGGAGAAUUUCAAACAAAUAAUAGAAAAGACGAAGCAUGAAAAGGAAACUUAUAAGCAAAUGUACACUACCAGUAAUAGCAGAGUAAAAAAUAAGGAGCAACGAAAACAGCAUAAGCACAUCAGGGACAAAAUAAAAGAACUUCAAUACUAUAAAAAACAAGAAGAAAAGUAUCCAAAUAGCUACACGAGGACUCGAGAGGUACGGCUCAGAUAGUAUCAAAAAGAAAAGUAGAGUAAAUGUGACCACUAAGGGGCGCAACAACACGGCAAUUGUAACUCUAUGCAAGUGCAAAUUCAGUGUUUGAUUUGAUAUAUUUAAUUACAACUGUGCAGUAAAAACUGCAGGAAAAGGUUUAUCUGUAGCAGUUGGGACUACGCCUAAAUUAGCCGUAGUUCUAACUAUAGCCGUUAGUGAGAGUAACUUCAAAUAAAAAGUAAACUUACCUUCUUAAUUAUUUUUUAAAUAAAAAAUAAUUUUUUUUCUCGCCAUCAUAUAUAUAAAAUGAUAAAAUUUUAAAAAUUAUUUCUCAAUUAUAUGCAACAAAAUAAAUUAUUUGUAGUUGCAGCGUUUUCUACUCUAUCCAAUCAAAUAUAUUGCAUGUAAUUACAAUUGCUGCAUUUUCAGUUGUAUACAUCUCCAACUAUAUAGUAUUUGUAAUUGCAUCUAACGAACCGGUCCUUAAGUUCCAUAUUUUAUUAUCAAACAAACAUGAGAAGUAUAUAAAUUGUAAGCAUUCUUUCUACUACCAAUUUGCCCUUACGCUUUAUCGUGAAGAAUUAAAACUUAAAAGACAAAAAAAAUUAUUGUACCAAAGAUUUAAUAUAUAGACAAUGGGCUUGGGCUUUGUACGUUUAUGCUAAUGCUAGUGCCUUAGGUCUAGCGUGUUAGGGAUAUUUUAGGGAUUCCUAAGAAAUAAAUGUCACAGUAGAGUGAUAAAAAGAUGAGAAUAAAUAUUACCCUUUCUUUAUGUUGAGAAAUAUAUUAUAUAUAUACUAUAAUUAUAUUAUAUAUAUAUAUAUAUAUAUAUUUAUAGUCUCUAUAAAUCUUUUAAUCGUCCAAAAAAGAAUUCACAAUGGCAGCCCACUUUCAAAGUUGGGUGUGGGCUCGCAUUUUCAAGGUUUGCUCUUUCUUGGCCCGCUCACUUUUUUUUAAUCGUUUCUUCCCAUGUGACAGUUUUAUCUCUUCUCAUAUACCGUUCUAAUUUUUCAUGCAACUGUUUUCUUGUCCACAUACGCUGUGAUUCUUUUUCUACUUUCUUUCAAUGCAUUUUUUUAUUAUCUUUGCUUUUUCAAUGUAGUUAGUGUGACUGAUUUAUGUGAUGUCUCUUCUUUGGCACAUCCGUGUCAAGGGCGCCAAUCCAUCCACUUCCUCCCUCCUUGGCGAUCCCGGAUCUUCCUCUGCCACACCACUAUCCACGACCUCCUCUCUACAUCCACAAUCGCCGUCGUAAACAGGCCGCGUUGAAGGCGGCUUCGUUUUAAUCGCUUUUUUAUCUCUUUGUAAUUUUUUUUUAUUUUUUUGUGUUGGGAGAUGAAAGAGAGCGAGAGUUUAUCCGAGAUGUAGAGAAAGAUAGAGGAAAGGAUUUAGCAAACUGUGGGUGGUGUACUGGAAUCUGUAGUCGGAAUAGAGGAUGAGGUUUCCCCGUCAAUGUAGGUGGAGUAACGUGCGACCGCCUAAUGCGAUGCGGCAGCAUAGGGUCCACUAUUAAUGGAGGGGUUAGAGGUGAGGGUGGAUUCCGUCGCGUCCAAUCUAUCCUGUCCAUGACAGCUUCUUCGUUUGUUUUUAUUGAAUGAAUACUUUUACUUUUUUAUUGGUAGCUUUUAUAUUUCCACUCCGCUACGAAGCGUGGAUGCUUUCACUAGUGUGUUCAACCCAAGGGCCCACAUCAUCCUAACGCACAUCACUUAAUCCAAUGGCCAAAAACUUGGUAGCACCAUUGACUUGGUGCUAUUAAUAGCAUAGUAGCCUAGUUCUAUCAUAUGAUGUCCGGCUGCUAUGCUAUCAAUAGCACCAAGUAGUUUGGUGCUAUCAAGUUUUCUGUGUUAGACUCAACCCAUUUGAUUAUUUUUACCCGUUAGAUUAUACUAUUCAACUAACACCCACUCAACCCAAGGGGCCCACUAUCAUCCUAAACCGCACAUCACUUAAUCCAAUGGCCAAAAACAUGUAGCACCAAUGACUUGGUGCUAUUAAAUAGCAUAGUAGCCAAGUUCUAUCUAUAUGAGUCGCGCUGCUAUGCUAUCAAUAGCACCAAAGUAUUGGUGCUAUCAAGUUUCUUGCCGUUAGAUUAACCCUUUGAUUAUUUUUACGUUAGAUCAUACCAUUCAACCAACAACCCACCCACUUAACCCAAGGAGCCCAAUCAUCCUAACGCACAUCACUUAAUCCAAUGGCCAAAAACUUGGUACCAAUGACUUGGUGCUAUUAAUAGGCAUAGUAGCCUAGUUCUAUCUAUAUGAGUCCGGCUGCUAUGCUAUCAAUAGCACCAAAUAGUUGGUGCUAUCAAGUUUCUGCCGUUAGAUUAAGCCCUUUGAUGUAUUUGUACCGUUAGAUUAUACUAUUCAACCAACACCCACUCAACCCAAGGGGGCCCACAUCAUCCUAACCGCACAUCACUUAAUCCAACAUGGCCAAAACUUGUAGCUCCAAUGACUUGGUGCUAUUAAUAGCAUAGUAGCCUAGUUCUAUCUAUAUGAGUCCGGCUGCUAUGCUAUCAAUAGCACCAAGUGUUCGGUGCUAUCAAAUUUAUCUGCCGUUGAUUAACCCCUUUGAUUAUUUUUACCCUUUAGAUUAUACUAUUCAACCAACACCCACUCAACCCAGGGGCCCACAUCAUCCUAACCGCACAUCACUUAAUCCAAUGGCCAAGAACUUUGGUAAGCACCAAUGACUUGGUGCUAUUGAUAGCAUAAGUACCUAGUUCUAUCUUAUAGUCGCGGCUGCCUUCAGAAUAGCACCAAGUAGUUGGUGCUAUCAAGUUUUUCUGCCGUUAGAUUAACCCUUUGAUUAUUUUUACCCGUUAGAUCAUACAUUCAAGCAACCACCCACUCAACCCAAGGGGCCACAUCAUCCUAACCGACAUCACUUAAUCCAAUGGCCAAAAACUUGGUAGCACCAAUGACUUGGUGCUAUUAAUAGCAUAGUAGCCUCGUUCUAUCUAUAUGAGUCCGGCUGCUAUGCUAUCAAUAGCACCAAAUAGUUGGUGCUAUCAAGUUUUCUGCCGUUAGAUUAACCCCUUUGAUUAAUUUUUACCCGUUAAGUAUAUAUUCAACCAACCAGCCACUCAACCCAAGGGGGCCCACAUAUCCUACACGCACAUUCACUUAAUCCAAUGGCCAAAAACUGGUAGGCACCGAUGACUGGUGCUAUUAAUAGCAUAGUAGCCUAGUUCUAUCCAUAUGGUCCGCGCUGCUAUGCUAUCAAUAGCACCAAGUAGUUGGUGCUAUCAAUUUUCUGCCGUUAGAUUAUCCUUUGAUUAUUUUACCCUUUAGAUUAUACUAUUCAACAACACCCACUCAACCCAAGGGGGCCCACAUCAUCCUAACCGCACAUCACUCAAUCCAAUGCCAAAAACUUGGUGACCACAUGACUUGGUGCUAUUAAUAGCAUAGUAGCCUAGUUCUAUCUAUAUGAGUCCGGCUGCUAUGCUAUCAUAGCACCAAGUAGUUGGUGCUAUAAUUUUCUGCCGUUAGAUUAACCCCUUUGAUUAUUUUUAUCCGUUAGAUUAUACUAUUCGACCAACCACCCACUCAACCCAGGGGCCCACAUGCAUCCUAACCGCACAUCACUUAAUCCAAUGGCCAAAAAACUUGUAGCACAAUGACUUGGUGCUACUAAUAGCAUAGUAGCCUAGUCUUAUAAUAUAUAUAUAUAUAUAUAUAUAUAUAUAUAUAUAUAUAUAUAUAAUAUAUAUAUAUAUUAUAUAUAUAAGCCAUAUAUAUAAGUGCUUGGUGAUGUUAUGGAAGCAUGAGGCUCCGUGCUUCCAAGUUGUUUUCGAUGUUCGCGUACUUUCGAAUCGACGAUCGGCUCUGUUAGAGUUAUUUAGAGUAUUUGAAGUACUAGAAAAUAAAUUUUGCGAUUUUCGAUAUCAUGUGCCUAGUGAUCGAAGGGGCUCAAAUCAAUAAUUUUACGGCCGUGCGUGAGCCGGUUGCAAGUUUAACGUGUAAAAAUAUCCAAAUCACAUGAAACUUUUGAUAGAAAAUUCUUAUACAUAUAAAAUAAGAUCAAUAACUUGAUCUAAAAUUUUAAUGUCAUAUCAUCUUAUUUUGUAAGAUUUUAUUUUCAGCCCGUUGAUUUUGAGCCACUUCGAUCACUAGGCAAAUGAUAUUCGAAAAAUCGCAAAAUUUAUUUUCUAGAUACUUCAAAUACUCUAGAUCAACUCUAACGGAGCCGAUCGUCGAUUCGAAAGUCCGUACAUCGAAAACAAAGUGAAGCACGGAGCCCUCCGUGCUUCCAUAAGCAUCCUAGCCGCACUUCUAUAUAUAUAUAUGUACUAUCUAUAUAUAUACUACUAUAUAUAAUGAGAGAAAGCCACCAUGAGUGCACUCUUGAUGGCUAAGGGAAAUGAUGUGCACGAGAGGCCAUCGAACUGCCGCAGAGGGGAAGAGGUAGAGAGAAGAGAGAGGAUGGUUGCUAGCGAGGGUGGGGUGGUCAUCAGUUGUGGGGGCGCGGGGCAGCUAGAAUGAAUGAGAGAGUCGAGCUGGGAAUACUAUCGUAAACCAAGGAUUUGAGCUUAUAUCCGAGUUCUCCACCGUUAGAGUUUACUUUGUAUUUUUACCAUUAGAUUGGGCGCAUCAUUCCUAACACAUAUUUCUCAAUCCAAUGUUAAACUAAAUAGCAACGCAUAGCUCCUGCUAUUAUAGUAUUUUCCAACCUAGUUCUCUCUCUCCCUCUCUCUCUCUCUCUCUCUCUCUUCCUCUCUCUCUCUCCUCCUCUCUCUCAUCAUAUAUAUAUAUAUAUAUAUAGAGUUGAGCUAGAAUACUCUCGAUAGUAAACAGAGCGUUUUACUAUCAAGUUGUUUUCGAUGAUAGAGCUUCCAAAUUAACGAUCGGCUCCGUUAAAUAUGAUCUAAACCAUUUAAACUACCUAGAAAUUAAAUUUCACGCACUUUCGAUAUUAUUCUUUUAUCCAUCUAGUGAACAGAAAAUGAAUGGUUGAAAAUGAAUAUUCUUUAAAAAAUGAUGAUAGGAGUCUUGUAAUCAAGAUCAAGAGUACAGAUCUUGUUUUAAAUAGUUUAAAGAAUUUUCUAACAAAAAUUCAAUUGAUUUGGAUAUCUUUACACCGUUAAAGAGAGAAAACGUCUCUUAUCCACCAUUAAAAUUAUAAAUUUUGAAACCCUUUGAUCAUUAGGCAAAUGAUGUCGAAAAGAUUUGAAAUUUGAUUUGUAAAUACUUUAAGUGGUAUAGAUCAUGUUCAACGGAGCCGAUCGUCAAUUUGGAAGCUCUAUCAUCGAAAACAACUCGAUAGUAAAACGCUCCGUUUACUAUCGAGAGUAUUCUAGCUCAACUCUAUAUAUAUAUAUAUAUAUAUAUAUGUCACAUGUUGUAAUUAGAUAUAAUUUUUAUAGUUUUAUUUAAAAAAAUAAAAGAGUAUAUGUAUGUACCUAACUUUAUACCUAAUUCCUUUUUGCCUUGGUAAAUGAAGUAUGUUUUCUAUCUGCUUUCGCUUUCAAGGGAGAAAAAACAAAUCGACUUAUUAUCACUACUUAGAAAAUGCGAUUUUCUUAUUUUCUGGCUUCGAAUUCCAUUUUAAAGCCAUUUGCAUAAACCCAUUAUUACCUAAUUAAUGUAGAAGGACUUUGCUGAGUAGUGUAAAACAACCUUUAUUUUUUAAUGAAAAUUUUAAACUGGCAUAGUGAGUUAGAGAACGGCCGUUUUAUAUAAUAAUAGAAACAUUGACGUGACUCGAAUUUAGAACCUUCUACUCUGAUACAAUAUAAAACAAUUAUUAUUUUUUAAAUUUAAAAUUAUGUUUAGCUCGAAUACAAAGAAGGAAAUAAAACCUUAUUUCUCCCUUUAUAUCCAAACAAAAAAUGAGAAAAAUGGGGACUAUUGUUUCCACCUCUCUAAUUAAUGAAUUAUUUGGAAUUACCCAUUAAGCGGUGGAAACAAUAAUUCCCUACUCAUGCCAGAACAAGCUUGUCCCAAUAGCUGGAACAAGUUAAAUUAUUUUUUAUAUUUAAUUAAUUAAUUAAUAUAUUUUUAUUAUAUUAUAUAAUAUUUAUAGCUAAUAAAUUUAUUAAUUUAUUUUUAAUUAUUAUUUUGAUGUUAAUUAAUUAGAUAAAAUUUUAAUUUAAAAUUAUAAUUCUUAUUCCUUCUGUUCCAAUCUAAUCAUUCAAAUACUAUUACCUUAUUUCCAAGACCAAUCCAAUUUUCACUCAAAUACAAAAUUGGUUUAGUUUCUGCUUAUAUCUGAACGUAUACUUAUCUCUGAAAUAAUCAGUUUUUACUUAUAUCCGAACCAAACAAAAUAGCUUAAGCUAAUAGAGAAUAAUAUUUUUAUAUGUAACAAGAAGCGCCUCAAUGAAAUCUCGUUAAGUCAGUUUGGUGAAGCAUACCAAAGCCCUUCUGAUGGGGUUAUUGCCAAACAAACAGUUUCCGCAUGUAUGCUUUGGGAAGCAAGUAGACAAAAAAGAGGUGCGCUCGGAGAAAGGAGCUUGCAACAAUUGCCUCUCCAUGGUGGGCCAUUUGGUUGGAGAAAAAUAGAAAAAUUUUUGAAAAUUCUAAAUGUACGGCGAGAUACUUCGCGACCGAUAUACGCUCUCUAAGAGACACUUGGGCUCUCUUCCGUUAGUUUUUUUUUUUCCUGUGAGGCCUAACUGCCUCAGAUUGUAGCCCAGUUUAAUCUUUAUUGAAUGAAGCAUUACCAAACCGCCUUAUUUUAAAUUUUUUUUUUAAAAAAAAAGGUUUGGUGAACCAACCAUUUCACCCUAUUCAUAGCUUUGUUCCGGUCUAAAAAAUUUUCGUACGAAUCUCAAGACUAGGGACGUCAAUGGAUAUUGAAACCCGAAAUUUUAUCCGAAUGAAACGAAUAUAUCUGAUACUAAAUGGAUAUAAAUUCAGAUAUAGAUAUCAAAAAUAGAAACAAGACGGAUAUGGAUUCGGAUAUGAAUUUUGACUGUACCCUACUCGAAUCCGAACCCAACCCGAACCCAAAUUUAUUUUGUAUUUUAUAUAUAUAUAUAUAUAUAUAUAUAUAUAUAUAUAUGUCACAUGUUGUAAUUAGAUAUAAUUUUUAUAGUUUUAUUUAAAAAAAUAAAAGAGUAUAUGUAUGUACCUAACUUUAUACCUAAUUCCUUUUUGCCUUGGUAAAUGAAGUAUGUUUUCUAUCUGCUUUCGCUUUCAAGGGAGAAAAAACAAAUCGACUUAUUAUCACUACUUAGAAAAUGCGAUUUUCUUAUUUUCUGGCUUCGAAUUCCAUUUUAAAGCCAUUUGCAUAAACCCAUUAUUACCUAAUUAAUGUAGAAGGACUUUGCUGAGUAGUGUAAAACAACCUUUAUUUUUUAAUGAAAAUUUUAAACUGGCAUAGUGAGUUAGAGAACGGCCGUUUUAUAUAAUAAUAGAAACAUUGACGUGACUCGAAUUUAGAACCUUCUACUCUGAUACAAUAUAAAACAAUUAUUAUUUUUUAAAUUUAAAAUUAUGUUUAGCUCGAAUACAAAGAAGGAAAUAAAACCUUAUUUCUCCCUUUAUAUCCAAACAAAAAAUGAGAAAAAUGGGGACUAUUGUUUCCACCUCUCUAAUUAAUGAAUUAUUUGGAAUUACCCAUUAAGCGGUGGAAACAAUAAUUCCCUACUCAUGCCAGAACAAGCUUGUCCCAAUAGCUGGAACAAGUUAAAUUAUUUUUUAUAUUUAAUUAAUUAAUUAAUAUAUUUUUAUUAUAUUAUAUAAUAUUUAUAGCUAAUAAAUUUAUUAAUUUAUUUUUAAUUAUUAUUUUGAUGUUAAUUAAUUAGAUAAAAUUUUAAUUUAAAAUUAUAAUUCUUAUUCCUUCUGUUCCAAUCUAAUCAUUCAAAUACUAUUACCUUAUUUCCAAGACCAAUCCAAUUUUCACUCAAAUACAAAAUUGGUUUAGUUUCUGCUNAUAGUUACAGGAUUCCGUAUUUUAUUUAGACCAAAAUCAUAGAAUAAAAAUUUCAUGGAGUUUUUUAACUAUCCAUCCAAACAUGGCCUCAGUGUAUGUUGAUGUGGUAUGAAAAGCACAACCAAUAGAUUCAAUUGAAUCCAAUCACUAUUCAAUGGAUAAUUGAACCGGAUUCGAUAAAUUUAAUUCGUUCAAAAAAUUUAAGUGAGAAGCGUUGCAAUCUUGGUUAUUGACCCACUGUAAAUCCUUGGUCUAAUAGUCUUGAGUAGGAAUGUCAAUGGGUAUGGAUGGCCGGAAUUUUAUCCUAACCCGAACCCGAAUGAAACAAAUAUAUUCGAUGCUAAAUUAAUAUGAAUUUGGAUAUGGAUAUAAAAAAUAAAAAUCCGACGAAUAUGAAUUCGGAUAUAGAUUUUGACUGUACCCAACCCGAACCCGAACCCGAAUUUAUUUUGUAUUAUAUACGAGCCCAGCUGCUAUACUAUCCGAACCCGACUGAUUUUAAAAAUUCAUAUCCAAACCCGAACCCGAAAAUUUGAAUCCAAAAUAAUUAUUUUUUUUCAAUAUUUAAAAAUAUAUUAUAUUAAAUCUAAAUUUUUAAAAUACAAAUUCAAAUAUAACAUCAAAUUUAUAUAUAUAUAUAGAGAGAGAGAGAGAGAGUCCGGCUACUAUACUAUCGGUAGCACGGAGGGCUCCGUGCUACCAAAUUGUUUUCGAUGAUGCGGCUUCCAAAUCGACGAUCGGCUCCGUUAGACUUGAUCUAUACUAUUGAAAGUAUUUGGAAACUAAAUUUUAGAUUUUUUCGACAUUAUUUGACUAGUGAUCAAAAUAUCUCAAAAUUGACAAUUUUAAAGGCCGAUGUGGUGUGUUUGUGAGUUUAACGGUAUAAAACAGUCCAAAUUCGAUGAAAAUUUUAUAGAAAAUUCUUUUCACUAUUUAGAGUGAGAUCAGUAUAUCUGAUCUUGAAUUUAAAUCUUUUAUCAUCAUUUUUUAUGAGAUUUUUAUUUUCAGCCGUUCAAUUUUAN
rnacentral:lncRNA from 1 species